rnacentral:lncRNA from 1 species
UCAAGCUCGACAGAUGCAGGACAGACUGUAAAACUAUGCAACGAGCGGCGGAUCUGGCCCUGAUCAGAUGUUUUUCUUAAUUUUUAUUGACGAUCCACGUACAGUUUCCAAGAAAUGGCCGCGACGUAUAAUGCCUUUGCGACCUAGCAAAACCUUAGGUGUUCUUUGUGCGAGCUUAUAGUGGAUAAUGGCCGGUUUUUGGUUCAUAUUCAUGUUUUUGUUCUUAACAGUUUGAUGUUCUUCUCUCUAGCUAUCUGAAACUGUUGUCUAAUAGCCGAGUGAAUCAGUUUGCAGAAAGCAGCAUCGUUACAGGUGCACCACAACCACAAAGUAGCAUCUCAAGAUCGGGCUCCCAGAAUACAUACAAGAAGAAUAAUGGUAAAAUGCAUAAAUUAAAUCAAUGAUGGUAAUUACAGCAGAACAAGAGGGUACACCAAUGUGCGGACGGAAGGGGGGAAAGAGGGAGAGAAAUGGAACAAAGGCUGCAAAGAAACAAUGAAAUGAUACAUCGUGGUGUCAUCUAAAAGACGUAGAUGGCGGCGGCGGCGACGGCCAGCACGAAUGCGGGGCGGAGGCCGGCGNNNNNNNNNNNNNNNNNNNNNNNNNNNNNNNNNNNNNNNNNNNNNNNNNNNNNNNNNNNNNNNNNNNNNNNNNNNNNNNNNNNNNNNNNNNNNNNNNNNNNNNNNNNNNNNNNNNNNNNNNNNNNNNNNNNNNNNNNNNNNNNNNNNNNNNNNNNNNNNNNNNNNNNNNNNNNNNNNNNNNNNNNNNNNNNNNNNNNNNNNNNNNNNNNNNNNNNNNNNNNNNNNNNNNNNNNNNNNNNNNNNNNNNNNNNNNNNNNNNNNNNNNNNNNNNNNNNNNNNNNNNNNNNNNNNNNNNNNNNNNNNNNNNNNNNNNNNNNNNNNNNNNNNNNNNNNNNNNNNNNNNNNNNNNNNNNNNNNNNNNNNNNNNNNNNNNNNNNNNNNNNNNNNNNNNNNNNNNNNNNNNNNNNNNNNNNNNNNNNNNNNNNNNNNNNNNNNNNNNNNNNNNNNNNCUUUCUCUCUCAUUAUUGAUGAUUGAUGGUUUAUUUUCUUCGGCAGGAAUCUUGAGGGAAGCCGAAUAAUAGGUGCGGUGAUGAACUGGUCGUAUAAUUGGAUCGGAUUAUAAAUGGAACACAGUUUUAUGCCGUUAUCCUAAUGAUGAUGAGAGAUCGGAUUUUAUAACAGCCGGAUAUUAAAUGGAAAGAAAAAAACUAAUCUUCUAUUUCUAAAUAGUUAACAUCCACUAGCUAUUUUUUGUAGAUAGGCAGCUAUGCCACUUAGCAAAUUAUGCAUGUAAAUCAUAAAUUACAUUGUUUUUUUGCAUUACUCUUGCAUGCAAGCAUCAUAUCAUCAAUUCAUGCAUAUUACUCAUAAGUUAUUUUUUGCAUUAGAUUUCAUAUUGCCAAUAUAUGUGUUGAUCGCUUACAUCAUACCUAUGUAGUUAACAUUCACGUGUUUGUUAAAAAUGGCAAUCUUUUAACUGUAAUCAUUUUUUCCUCUUUUUAUGCAUGUUAUAUUUUUUAAUUAUUUUUUAAGAUUACAUUUCCUUCCCACUAAUUAUAGAUUUCUUUUGUAACAAGUUUUCAUCUAUUCUUUUAGCAAGUUUCCCGUAGCAAUGCGUUGGGACAUCAUCUAAUUCAUGUAUAAGCGUGUGCUCAUCUACACGCGAGAUGAACAAUAAUUUCAAAAGAAAUAGUAAAAUAUUCAAAAGGAAAUUUCUUGGCAUAAAAUAUGCUCAAGUGUGCAAGGAACAUGUAAAUUUUAGUUGUAUUUGCACAUUUGAGGAGUUUAAAAAAAAGACAAAAUCAGGCCUGAACAAUGUACUUUUUCAAAGUUCCUUUCAUAGUCAAAAUUUGUUUUUUUAUGCCGCAACCUCGUCGAAUGUUCAAGCAUAGUUAAUGUUUGCAUGCACAUUACACAUUUGAGCUGGAUGAUAAAAAAGAAUUUUUGAAAUCAUUUUGUUGUUUUAAAUGAAUUAAUUGUUUAUGCCCUCACUGAAUCGUUGCACUUGGUAUGGUGCUACUCGACACUGAAUCGAUGCCGCUUCUUUAGAAUGCUGAUGAGGAUGGCUUUUUCCUCUGCACCCACCCAUGCCGAUGCAUUGGCCGCCUUCGUUGUUACCAUAUCGACAGCGAGGCGGCCUCAGCCGUCCUCAUCCUCUCCUUCCCACUGCGGGCACGUCGGUCCCGAUGGGACUCAUACUCUGUCGAACCAACGAUGGGAAAGGGAAGAUUUGAAGGUUCUCGAAACCAUGAUGAUCCAGCAUUGGAGGAUCCGAGCGUCCGAUUUCCAUUGACGUUAUGGAGUCGUGUCGGAUAGAUCCUGCUGUAGGCCGAGCGCGGUCACUGGAAAGCAACAGAGUGAAAUGCGGACGGCCAUUGCCUCCUCCAACCUGCACGGGAGGACACCCUAGUUGACGGAUCCGGAUUGAUCAGAAUCAGGUCCGCUACCCGCCAUGUUGGAGAAGGCCGAACAUCGUCGAACAAGAGUUAGGAUGGCAGAGCGGAGUGGAGGAGAGUGGCUAGGGUUUGGUGCGAGAAGGGGAUAGAAACGAAUAUAUGUGGGGUCGGAUGGGUCAGCUUGGGCCGGUUCCGACCCCACAGAACACAUAAACGCCUCGUAUUCGUCUUAAAUUUUGACUGAAUAUGAAGAAUGUCAGUUUGUGUGGACUUUUUAGGCGUUUAUUUGGAUCGCAUUUCGUAACCGUCAAUGGCCAGGCCAUGCGUUUGGGACGGGAUCGGGACGCCCGGGUGUAGAUGUUCCGAGGAUAGCACUUUAGCUUCGGUUACUUUUUGCGAGCUGUUAUCACUCCCUUUGUACCUUCUACAGCUACAAAUAUUCCGGUACAGAGAAAGUAACUGCUAAAAAGUUACUACUAUUUUUUUCUUACCAAGUGAUCAUUGUUGAAGCAUCCUUAAUAGAUGUGCUACCCACAUGGCAGCAUGGGACCCCUGUGCAACCGGAGCAUGUGCAUAAGUUGGGGCUCGGUGUGUAAGUUGAGAUAAGAUAACAUUGUCAUCUCGAAAGAUGCUUUUCUGCCCGGCUUGGACAGCUGAGGCAUGGGUGGCAAAACAGCCGCCUAAAUGCCAGCAGAGGAAUAGGUUCUAUAUUUUCAUAAUAUAACCUCUUGUCCCAAGUCCCAACUCUCAACUCAUCUUAUAACUGUUAGUCUGUUACUGAGGGCAUCCCAUAAAGACGAUAUGCUAAAUAUCCACGGGUAAUCUAGCGAAGCCGGCCAUCCAAACCUACAUGAGUUUGGAUAGGUACAUCUAUUUGUUGAGGAAUAUUGCAUGAAAAACAAAAUAAAUUCUACACACAAGCAAUACCUAUCCAUGAUGAUGAUCAUUUAUAAGAGGAGAGAGUGAAUCUGCUUAUCCUUGUAGAUUGUUAAGCGGAAGCGUAUACAACGUGGUUGAUGUAGUGGAACAUCUUCACGAUCCAAAUCGCAGCCCGUCCCGCGAUCUCAUCACGAUCCGUCCCGCAAUCCCAUCACGAUCCAUUUCGAUCUAGUGUCGAACGGACGGAACCUCCGCGUUCAGCACACGUACAGCUCGAUGAUGAUCCCCGCCUUCUUGGUCCAACAAGAGGGGUGAAGAGGUAGAUGAGUUCUCCAGCACGACGAUGUGGUGGUGGUGAUGAUGAACUAAUCGAGCAGGGCUUCGCCUAAGCACCGCCGAAUUAGACUAGAGGAGAAACCGAUCUAGAUGAAGUAGAGGGAGCACGUGGCAAUUAGGGUUAGCUCUUCCCUCUAAAUCCUCAAAUAUAUAUAAGAGGGGAGGGGAGGAGGCAGCCAAAAACCCUCUAGGGGUUCGGCUGAAUAGGAGGAGGUGGAAGAGUCCACCUCCAAUCCUACUCCAAGUAGGAUUCCUUUCCUACUUAGAAUCCUUCCCUUCCUUUGGGUUUUUUUCCACCUCUAGCCGCAUGAGUCUUAUUGGCUGGUUUGGCCAGCCCACUAGGGGCUGGUUUAACUCCUCUCACAGCCCAUGAGGUCUUUUGGGUCGAGACACCCCUCCUGAUGGCCCCUGGUACCCUUCCGGCACUCUCGGUACACUACCGAUGAGCCCAAAACCUUUUCGAUGAUCAAAAUAGGACUUAUAUAUUAAUAUUUACCUCGGGACCCUUCAGGACCUCCUCGUGGCAUCCAGGAUCUCAUACGGGACUCGGAACAACCUUUGUUCACCAAACCCUAGAACUUACCAAUACCGAAACGUCACUGAACCUUAAGUGUGCAGACCGUGCGGGUUCGAUAACUAUGCAGACAUGACCUGAGACACUCCCCUGUCAAUAACCAAUAGCGGGACUUGGAUGUCCAUAUUGGCUCCUAUAUAUUCUAAGAAGAUCUCUAUCGGUUGGACCUCUAUGUCAAGGAUUCAGUUAAUCUCGUAUGAUGUUCCCUUUGUCCUUCAAUAUGUUACUUGCCCGAGAUUCGGUCGUCGGUAUCUCCAUACCUAGUUCAAUCUCGUUACCAGCAAGUCUCUUUACUUGUUCCGUAAUAUAAGAUCCCGUGACUAACUCCUUAGUCACAUUGCUUGCAAGGCUUAUUGUGAUGUUGUAUUACCGAGUGGGCCCCAAGAUACCUCUCUGUCACACAGAGUGACAAAUCCCAGUCUUGAUCCAUGCCAACCCAACAGACACCUUCGGAGAUACCCGUAGAUCACCUUUAUAGUCACCAGUUACGUUGCGACGUUUGAUACACACAAGGUAUUCCUCCGGUGCCCGGGGGUUGCAUAAUCUCAUGGUCAUAGGAACAGAUACAUUGAGAUGCAGAAAACAGUAGCAAUAAACUGACACGAUCAUAUGCUAUGUUUAUAGUUUGGGUCUCCCGUUUAUCAAGUGACAACACUUGUCUAUGGCGAGGAAACCUUGACCAUCUUUGAUCAACGAGCUAGUCAACUAGAGGCUCACUAGGGACAGUGUGUUGUCUAUGUAUCCACACAUGUAUUUGAGUUUCCUAUCAAUACAAUUCUAGCAUGGAUAAUAAAUGAUUAUUAUGAACAAGGAAAUAUAAUAAUAAUCAAUUUAUUAUUAUCUAUAGGGCAUAUUUCCAACACUAUUUUACCUACAUUGCAUAUUUGUCUCAAUCUAGUCAAGUUGAGUGAAUACACGCUAGAAACCAUUAUCCUUACAUUGUUUGGUUGCAUAUGUACCUUCUAGCCUAGGUGCGAAGAAACGCAAGUCAAAUAGUUUGGUUACGGCUUGUUUAGACAGGAAUGCAAGUAAGGUUUUUUGGUUACAUGAAACACAUGUUGUGUGGUAACCUUCUCGUGGACUUGGUAAAUUAUCAACACAAGGACAUAGAUAAGAUACCAACAAUCUUAAACAAUCAAUUUAACAUAGAUAACAUAUCAAGUGCGACAUAAUUAAACAUAGUCUAACACAAACAAACCUUUAUUCAACACAAAGGACUUUCUAGACAUUCACGACGAAUGUGUCGUCGUGCUUAUAUCACUUGAUCACCACCUUAACAUCGUUGUCGUUCAAAACUACCACCUUCAGGGUAUCGGGAACUAGCAAUUGGAACAUGACCACAUAGCCGAUCUUGAUCUUAUGAACAACGACGAAGGGGGCUCAACCUUGAUCAAGGGUGACCCUACCGUCGAUCACUUGGAUAGUGAGCCUUUAGGCGCAACCGGUAUUUGUCUUGAGCUUGAGCUCCCGAGUGACAGCGGGGAAGCGCUUCGUGAAGUCUAGAAGCAUCGGCUGACACUUCAGUUUUGGUGCAAGGAUGAUCUUGACAAUCCAGAAGUGGGUUGUCCCCUCUCCUUAUGGUAAUGGUUGUAGUUCUGUUGGAAAUAUGCCCUGGAGGCAAUAAUAAAUUGGUUAUUAUCAUAUUUCCUUGUUCAUGACAAUCCUUUAUUAUCCAUGCUAUCAUUUUAUUGAUUGGAAACUCAAAUAGAUGUGUGGAUACAUAGACAACAGAGUGUCCCUAGUAAACCUCUACUAGACUAGCUCUUUGAUCAAAGAUGGUUAAGGUUUCCUAGCCAUAGACAUGAGUUGUCAUUUGAUAAAAAGAUCACAUCAUUAGGAGAAUGAUGUGAUGAACAAGACCCAAACCGUAAGCACAACAUUUGAUCGUUUCACAAAGUUUAUUGAUAUUGCAUUCUGCAUGUCAAUGUAUGUGUUCCUAAGACCAUGAGAUCAUGCAACUCCGUGACACCGGAGGAAUGCCUUGUGUGUAUCAAAUGUCACAACGUAACUAGGUGAUUAUAAAGAUGCUCUACAUGUAUCUCCGAGGGUGCCUAUUGGGUUGGCCUCGAACGAGAUUGGGAUUUGUCACUCCGUAUGACGGAGAGGUAUCUCUGGGCCCACUCGACAAUACAACAUCACAAGAAGCUUGCAAGCAAUGUGACUAAGGAAUUAGUCAUGCAAUCAUGUAUUACGGAACGAGUAAAUAGACUUGUCGGUACGAGAUUGAACUAGGUAUGGAGGUAUCGACGAUCGAAUCUCGGGCAAGUAACAUACCGAUGGACAAAGGAAACUGCAUACGGGAUUAACUGAAUCGUUGACAUCGUGGUUCGAUCGUUAUAGAUCUUCAUAGAAUAUGUAGGAACAAAUAUGGGCAUACAUGUCCUGCUAAUGGUUAUUGACCGUAGAGGUGUCUCGUUCAUGUCGGCAUAGUUCUCGAACCCGCAGGGUCAGCACACUCAAUGUUUGAUGCUAAUCUAGUAUUGUUGAUUUAUUAUGUUGGUGAUCGAAGGCUGUUCAGAGUCUCGGAUGAGAUCCCGGACAUGACGUAGAGCUUUGGAAUGGUCCGGAGGUAAGUAUUGAUAUAUGGGAAGUUGGUAUUUGAGAUCCAAAAAAGUUUUGGGAUAUACCGGUUUUGUGAUGGAUGUUUCGUAAGUGUUUCGGGGGUCCACCGGGAAGGUCCACCUACCCUGGAGGGCCCCAUGGGCUAUGAGAGGUGGCGCACCAACCCUUGGUGGGCUGGCCUAGAGGUGGUCGCCGCCCCUCUUUCCUUGAGGCGCAAGGCUCCUCUUGGUUGCCGCCCCACCCUAGGGAAACCUUAGGGCGCCGGUCUCCUCCUCCCUUCCCCCUAUAUAUACUAGAGGAGAGGGAGGGCAGCCACGACGCAUCCCUCCUCUCUCUCUCUCAUAGUACUUCUCUACCGUCAUGAUCGUGGUAGUGCUUGGUAAAGCCUUGGCAAGAUCGCACCACCACCGCCGCCACUACAUGGUUGUAUUUUCGGAGAACACAUAUACUACUCAACUUCACUCGCUAGAUCGUGGUGGUGAAGGCGCCAUUGAUCUGCACGUGUACUGAACGCGGAGGUGUCGUCCAUUCUGCGCUAGAUCGGGACGGGUUGUGGUUGGAUCGCGGGUUGGAUCGUGAUUGGACCGGGAAGACAUUCGACUACAUCAACCGUGUUUUUUUAACUCUUCCGCUUAGCGAUCUACAAGGGUAUGUAGAUACACUCCCCUCUUGUAGUUGUUCAUCUCCAUAGAUUUAUCUUGGUGCAUGUAGGAAAUUUUGUGUUUCCCAUGCAACAUUCCCCAACAAGUUCCUCAUCCACUUGACGCUAGGGAGCUCCACCACCUCCUUGCCCUUGUCUGGGGAGUCAUGACCUCCUUGCCCUUGGAGUUAUCUGAGGCUGCUUUCUCGAUCUACAUUAUGAACGUCAUGAAGUUCAAAUGAUGAUCACCAUUCAUUCGUCCCACCCACCUAGUCCAAAGCCUCUAUUUAUCAACCACCACACUCAAUUAACUAUCUCUCACUUUCACUAUUUGUCUUCUAUCCUCUUUCACAUAUAUGCCUAAUCACCACUCCAUACCUAACCCAUUCCCUAGGGCAUUGGAUGGAGGGCUUUCUUUCAUGGUUGCUCGCUCAGUGACCGCACCAAGUUCGGCAAGACCAUGGAGGUGUGCUCUCAGUUGACCAGCACCGAGUAUAUUCAUAAAGAAGCAUGCAUCAUGCUGUUGAAGGUGUCGAAGGAGUCAAAUAUGAUGAUACCUAACCCAGUCAAAGGCGUUAUGUCAGUAGAAAUACUACAUUGGUAAAUGGAUGAGGGUUGUUAGAGCAUAUUUCUCCAUGCGUGGUUUUGGUAAUUGAUGACAAUCCCUAUGGACUAAUGGUUGCCUUGAGUUAUAUUCGAAGGAUUUGUCCGUAUGCACUUCUUUAAGUCCAUCUGUUGGUUUCAAGGAGUUUAUAUGAAGGUGGUAUUCAAGGUUUUAUCCAAAGAUUGGUCAUAAAGACACAAGGUUGAUCAAGCCUAAGUUAAAGAGUGAAUCAAGUUGAUCAACACACAAAGCAUGCAAGAUGUACCCAGAGCGAUCAAGUGAUCCCAUGGUAUGGUAAGCAUUGUCCAUUAUGCUUUGUGUACUAACUCAUGGUCUUCGUGAGAGUUCUAUGUGGGGUUAGGUAUGUUUCCAUGGGCUUGUGUCAAGAGGAAGAUCUCAUUCUACCCAUGGAAGAUUGCGGUGUGCAAGUUCAAGUGGAGCAUCACAAAGAUAUCAUGCUUGAAGCUUGCCAUCCACUAUGGUGGCAAUGGACUUGUGAAGAUGUGUUGAAGAGUGAUCACCCAUAGUGGAGUAUGGGGGAGCAAUCUACUAGUCUUCAUCGAUCCGGCACAAUCAAGAAAGGUGGUCCAUCUUGAGAGGUCAACAUCAUCAUUAUUUAGCUCAAGUGGACUAUGCACAUGACAAAGGUUUGUCCUUGAUAGGUUUCCUAUUGUACCGGUCUCAGUGCGUUAGUUGGGAGACCAGGUUAUAGGAUAGAUUGUCGUACUAUCAAGGGGGGGAUCUCAAGUUAGUAGCUUGAUCGUAUCGUUCAUUGUGAGAUGAAACCAUUACAUUCUUGGCAUCACCAUAUUUCUUGGUUCUUGGUUGGCUUUUAUCUAUGUGGUUUCUUGAGUUUAUGGUCAUCUUCAUGACAUGCUUGAGUUCAUCGAAAAUGGAGUGCAUGUGCAUUUUCUAUGAUGUUAUCGAUGUUGGAGUUUUUGAUGGUUCUUCAUUCAUAUAAGUUUCACAUCUCUAUAUGAUUGGCAUUUCCAUAACUUCCUCUUCUUAAUAUAACCACUCACUAUUUCGAUAGCACUCGUCGUGUACUAUCCAACAAGCUUGAGUUUGCUCAAUUCAGAGCUCAUAUGGAAAGUUGUGACAAUUUUAGUGUGAGGGCAGCUUUUCUGUGUUAAGCGGAAGUACCACUGGGAGCGAAGCGGUAGUACCGCCCAAGUGGUACUACCACCCUCCUCUUCCGUCCCAGCUUUCGCUUAUGUGAGCUCUCUGGUGUCCUCAGGUACCCUUGCCCAUUUAUAGCGGAAGUAGCGCCAGGAGCAAAGCGUUAGUACCACUGGGGCGGUACAGCCGCCGUACACUCCCGGCCCCACUUUCGCUUAUUUGAGCACUCUGGUAUUGCUUCUUCAUCUCCAACGGUAGUACCACUAGGUCGACCGAUAGUAUCGAUCCGGUGGCACUACCGCCUUGAGAUUUCUACCAUUUGCAUGUUUUUCCUUGAAACUUCCGUUCUAGUGGAAGUACCGCUCGCGUGAGCGGUACUACCGCUUAUGCACGAGUUCAGUGCAUAACAGUUGGAUAUGGAGGGACCUAUUUAAGGGGGGUCUUCUUCCUCAAUGGUUUCUAACUCUUGAUCUCGUGUUCUUCCCCCAUUGUUGACCUUCUUUGAGUUUGAAACUCUCAAUCCCUCCAAUGAUUCUUGCUAGUUCUUGAGGGAAAAGAGGUAGGAGAUCUAGAUCCACAUUCCACCAAUCACUUUCUCCUCUUUGUGAGGGGAACCCCUUGAAUCUAGAUCUUGGAUGUCUUUGUGUUCUUCUUCGUUCUUCCUCUCAUUUUCCUUCAUAGCAUUAGUUGUUGUGGUGGGAUUUGGGAGAGAAGCACUUGGGCACUCUAUGUACCCUUGCCAUUGCAUUUGGUUCAUAAGUUUGAGUUCUCCAUGGUUAUACGUGGAAGUGAAGCUUUGAGAAGCUUAUUACUCUUUGGUGUUUGGGCACCCUAGAGCUUGUGCAUGUUGGUUGCUUUGGCGCCCUAGAUGGUUGGUGGUGCCUCAGAGCUCAAUCAUUGAUGACGAGUUGAUGGAUAUACUUCUCGCCCCUCGUUGGUUAUCCCAAGUGAAAGGCGGGGAUGUAGUCAGCUGCAGAUUUCCCUUACACGGAGACUGUAAGGUUUAUCGAACCAGGAGGACUCCUAGGCUCAACAAGUAGGUGUCUUCCACCGUGGCGCUAGCAGAAGACGUGGACCUGCACACACAACAAAUAACUUUGCUCCCAACGAGUACAUAGAGGUUGUCAAUCUCUCCGGCCUUGUAGUUUGCAAAGGAUCAAAACAGAAGCGGGAAAGUAAUAGUGAUUGCAACGGAAAAGUAAAUGAAAGCGGUAAAUGAUGGAGGUGAAAACAAUGAUGGUGAUAUGGAUCGGAGUCACAUGAUGUUCACUAGUGAUGUAUCACUCCCAAAAGACGAUAAACAACUAUGCUUGGGUAAACAAAUCAUAGUUGGGCAAUUGACAGAAUUAUGAUCGCACCGCAAUGCUAAUUAUGCUACUUGAUAGUUAGAGGUUCAAUAGUAAUGGGCAAUACGCCAAGACAAGUAGACCGUUUAUUCAUCAGCAUCUACUUACUAAUCAUCCACCUUGAUAUAUCUAUCCAGAACAUCUCUCCAGUAUUAAGUUGCGAGCCCCACCCAAAGUGUAAGCUCAAAGCAUCAGACAAGUGCAUUAACGAACUAUGCGUAAGGUAAACAAUCCUUGCAACCGUGUCACAAGCAUCGUUGUUUUCUCCCUGGUGGCAACAAGCACAUGCCCUAGUCUCAUGUUUCUGUCACUCAAGCUAGAUAUCGAGGGGCAUGAACCCCCAAUCAUGCAUAACGCUCCCUCUUGGAGUUACAAUCUACUACUCAGCCAAAGCAAUAAAUAGCAACGGAGAACAUGCAUGAAUCACUAAGGAACAUAAUAUAAAAGGAUAAUAAAAUAUAUAAUUCAUAACAAUCUGAACAUAAUCUCAUAAUCCAUCUGAUCCCAACAAACCGAGCAUAGCAAUAGUAAGAGAAUUACAUAGAUGCCUUGAUCAUGUAGGGAAGCUCACAAGGUCUAACCAUCGAAGCACAAGAUUGGAGAAAAGACAUCACAUAGCUACUGGUUAUGGACUCAUGGUCCAAGGAGGACUACUCACGGCACGUCCGGGAAGCGUCCAUGGCGGUGGAGAAGCUCCCGAGGUCAAUCCUCCCUCCGGUAGGGUAUCGGAAAGAGGUCUCGUGACGCUCCCGAUCUCGGAAGCGCUGCGGCGGCGGAACGAUGGAGAAAUUCGCGAUUCCAAAAGUUGUUGAAGGGUUUCCUCUCGGGACUCUAAAUAUAGGCUAAAGGAAGGCACCGGGGGAGGUGGGACCCACCCAGGCGGCUUCCUGGCACGGCCUAGGGCCUCGCCGCGCUAGCAUAUCGCCUGGGGGGGGGGGGGCUGGCCCCUCUGGGCCGUCUUCGGUGAUCCGAAAGCUUCUAUUUCGCUGAUUUUUUUUAUAUUUUUUCUAGAAUUUUCCGCGCUUCAGAAAAUUGGGUAAAAGCCCGUGCAAAAUAGACAUGAGCAGACAAAAACUCGCACUGGGUGCACAGAAGCCUGAGAAUCAAGGCAGGGGGCCUGCAGGGAUCCCACAAGCCCCCUAGCCGCGGCCAGGGGGCCCGCGCCUCCCAGGCUUGUGGGCUCCCUGCGCCACCUCUGCCCUAGGACUUUCGCCUAUAAAUUCCCUAAAAUCCCAGAAAAAAUCAGGAGAUCAUCGAAAGUAUUUUUCACCGCCGCAAGCUUCUGUCUCCGCAAGAUCCCAUCUGGGGCACAUUCUAGUGCACUACCGGAGGGGGGAUUCGUACACGGAGGGCUUCUCCAUCAACACCAUGACCUCUCCGAUGAUGCAUGAGUAGUUCACCAUAGACCUACGGGUCCAUAGCUAGUAGCUAUAUGGCUUCUUCUCUCUCUUGGAUCUUCAAUACAAAGUUCUCCAUGAUCUUCAUGGAGAUCUAUCCGAUGUAAUCUUCUUUUGCGAUGUGUUUGUCGAGAUAUGAUGAAUUGUGGAUUUAUGAUCAGAUUAUCUAUGAAUCAUAUUUGAGUUUCUUCUGAUCUCUGUUAUGCAUGAUUUCAUAUCCUUGUAAUUCUCUUCGAGUUGUGGGUUUUGUUUGGCCAACUAGAUCUAUGAUUCUUGCAAUGGGAGAAGUGCUUGGUUUUGGGUUCAUACCGUGCGGUGACCUCACCCAGUGACAGAAGGGGUAGAGAGGCACGCAUCGUGUUGUUGCCAUCAAGCGUAAAAAUAUGGGGUUUUCAUCAUUGGUUUGAGAUUAUCCCUCUAUAUCAUGUCAUCUUGCUUAAGGAGUUACUCCGUUCGUCAUGAAAUCAAUACACUAGAUGCAUGCUGGAUAGCGGUCGAUGUGUGGAGUAAUAGUAGUAGAUGCAGAAAGUAUCGGUCUACUUGUCUCGAACGUGAUGCCUAUAUGUAUGAUCAUUGCCUUAGAUAUCGUCAUGACUUUGCGCGGUUCUAUCAAUUGCUCGACAGUAAUUUGUUCACCCACCGUAAUAUUUGCUAUUUUGAGAGAAGCCUCUAGUGAACACUAUGGCCCCCGGGUCUACUCCACACCAUAUUUUCAGCCUUACACUUUUUCUUCGUUGCACUUUCCGCCUUCAGAUCUCACUUUGCAAUCAAUCUUGAAGGGAUUGACAACCCCUUUAUAGCGUUGGGUGCAAGCCCUUUGUGUUUGUACAGGUACUCUGGACUUGACGAGAUUCUCCUACUCGAUUGAUACCUUGGUUCUCAAACUGAGGGAAAUAUUUACUGCUCCUGUGCUGCAUCACCCUUUCCUCUUCAAUGGAAAAACCGACGCAAGCAAGUCUCCGUCAACGUGUCAAUUUUUGGUGCUGUUGUUUGAGAAGUAGCACUAUGUCUUCGCUAUGCUUAAUGCUUGUCACUAGCCUAUUCACCCCCUCUAGGCGUCAUCGAGGUCUUUUCAAUUGGUAUCAGAGCUAGGUCUCUCUUUAAUUAGGUUUCACGACCUAGAGAGUAUCGAUGUCAACUAUUGGAUUAGUGCGCAAUGGCAUCUUUGACUUAAUUGGAACAAAUUAUACCCUAUGGAGAAUUCGUAUGCUUCAUCACUUUCGGGCCAUGGGCCCAAAUACUUUACGAAUUGUUCUUGUAGGGAUUGCCGACAAAAGGGAUGAUGCAUCUUCAUCUACUAAUGAAAUGUAUCUUGAUUGUGAGGCCUUUCUUGCCAUUCAUCGAACCAUAAGUCCUGAAGUGUUCAAGUCUAUCUCGACUUGCAAGUCAGCUCAUGAAGUUUGGACUAAACUUGAAGAUAUAUAUGGUGGGUCCAAUCUUGAUGAAGACGGUAUUAUGAUGAAGGAGUUGGUGCAUGAGCUCUUCACUCUUUUCGAUCUUAAAGAGUCCACCACUACUCCCAUAUCCGAUUGCUUGCACACCUCAGCAUCUUCAAUCUCACAAGGUAACGACAUGGUGAGUGAAGAAAUAUAUGUUGAUGAAAAUGGCAUAGCCUCUAUGGACACGAGCAUAUCUAGCACCACACAUAGUGUAAAUUAUUGUGCUGAUAGGUCAUGCAUUUCACCUAAAGAUUCCUUGACAAAUGUCUGUGGUGAUAUGCCUGCCUCCUCGUGUCCUCUUGAUCAAAAUAUCUUGUUUCUCCCUAGUUGCUCUAUGACUAACCAUUUAGGGGAAAUCAAGAAAUAUAAAGUACUUUUGGCUAAUGAAGAAUCUGAUUCACCAAAAGAAUCAUCAUCAACUCCUCCAGUUCACAUGUGCCUCAUGGCAAGAGGUAAUAAUGAGGUAUCAUCUUCCCUGUGCAAUAACGAUGAUAUAUGCGAUGAGGAUGAUGAUGAUGACUUGACUGAAAAUAUCUAUGUGAUCAGUAAAAUUCUUCAUAAUCCUAAAAAUAACUCUCUUCAAAGGUUCCAAGAUGUUCUUGCUUACUUUGAAAACUGUAAUGAUUCACUUAAUCAUGAACCAGCUAAAAGUGAACAACUUGAACAUGAACUUGAGAAGAGUCAUCAAGUAUGUAGAGACUUAAGAUCUUCAAAAGGAGAGAUUGAAGUUGCUCAUGAUAAACUUAAAAGGGACUUUGAGGUCCUUCUCCUUGAAUGCAAUAAUGUCAAAGGAGAGCUCAUCAAAACCUCUAAGAUCUAUGAGGAGCUUCAAUCUACUCAUGAGAAGUCUCUAUUUGCUACUUACUCCUCUCAUAUUGUUGAUGAUACUUGUACAUCUAACUCUACCUCUUCUGAAGUAUCAACAUUGAAGGAGAAUGUUGAGCUACGUGCUCAACUUGAUUUACUAACUAGCAAUUAUGGGAAGUUGGAAGAAAACCAUGUAAUGGUCACAAGCUCUCAUGCCGAUCUUCUAACAUCCUAUAAUGUGCAAAAGUUAGCUCAUGAGGCUAUCAUCACCAAGGUAACAUCAAGCGAGCCUCAUGUGGACAAUGGCACUACUUCUGGUCAAAGUACUAUAUUUCCAUGUGCCAGUCCUCGUAAUUCGUCUACUCAUAAUGUUGCUACCUCAUGUGAUGAAUUACUUUCCUUGCCUUGUUGCUCUAACAUUGAAGCCUACACUUCCUCUAGUACUUGCAUUGAUACUAACCGUGCAGAGGAAAUCAAAGAGCUCAAGGCCCAAGUCACUUCUUUGAAGAAAGACUUGGAACAGUGUCAUGAAGGGAUGCCCACAUUCAACAACGUCCUGUGUGAGCAAACAUCUCCGAAUGACAAAAAUGAGUUUGGAGUAAACUCAAACAAGAACAAGAGGGGCCUAGAACAAGUCAAGAAUUCGGCCAAAAUCAUUUGCUUCAAGUGCAAAGUUAAAGGGCACCAUGUUAGAUCUUGCCCUCUGAAGACGAAGUCUCAAAGUCACAAGCAACAAGGGAAGCGGCCACAAACUCAAUCACAUAUUCAACUAGAAGUUGAAGGAAGGCCUCUUCCCAAUAAGACCCAAGCCAACACUCCCCAAGGUGAGAAAUCAAAUGGGAAGAAAACAAAGGGUAGAUGUUGCUACUUAUGUCGUGAGAAGGGUCACGUCGCUUCGUCUUGCACGAAAGGUAACUUAUCCAACCCAAUCACUAUUGAUGAUACAUAUUCCCUUGGGAAGGAUAAGGUUGGCAAUGUGUUUGCCAAGUUUGUUGGUACUCAAAAUGGUGUCAAGAAAAGAACCAUUUGGGUUGCCAAGCCUAUUGUGAUUAACCUCUUAGGACCCAACGUAGUUGGGGACCAACAAGCUCAAACUUGAUCAAUAGGUGACCUUGGAGGACAUUAGAGACUUGGAUACAUAAUGAAGAAUUAAGGGGUCUUCAUCAUUCAUAUUAUCUCAAGCCAAGUCAUUUGGAUUAUCGAGUUUCUAUCUUAUAUCCAAUGUGCCUCCUUACGGUAACUUAUACUUAAACUGUUUACAUUUGUUAGGUGAUUGCCCCUUUGCAUGUUGUGGUUUUGUACCUUGCAUGCGUUUGUAUAUGUUGUGCUUCCAACUUGCUUAUCUUGAGUAAUCAAGUAUGUGUAUGUUGGUUUGCACAUCAUGUACAUGUGAGUCUUGUAUUGAGCCUAUUUACAUCUUGUCUGUAUUUUUGUUGGCUCUUGUGAGAGAUUAAUGGAUUAUCCCAUUGUGGGGGAGUGAUGUGCUUUGCACACCUCACAAUCCUAUAAAUGUGUAUACAUGGGGAAUACCACUUAGUUUUGAUGCUUCAAGAUUAUCUAGUGUUUAUGUGGUAUGUCUUACUCAUGAGAAAUUCAAAUUCUAUAUGGUCCAUUAAGUAUCUCUUGUUGGUUUUAAUUUGCCACUUGUUAAUGUUAUUGUUUUAUCACAUUAUGGGGGAGUAAUAUGCUAUGUGCAUAUUACAAACCUAGAAAAUGUGUACAUCUGACGUAUUGCCACCUAGUGUUGAUAUUGUAAAUUAUCUUGUUCCUAGGUGGCAUGUUAGCUCUACAAGUGUCAUUUGCUUGCGUUUUAUGGGUAAAGAUAAUCUUGGAUAUAUUUGUGAUCUAUCAAUGAGUAUCAUUUCAAAAAUACUUCUUGUCCUUGACAAUUGGUAUUCCCAUCAUAUGAUUGGAAUUGAUAAUCAUCUUUACAUUGGAUUUUGUGUUUCGUUUGUCUUUCUUGCCUCUUAUGAAUCUAUUUUUAACAUGUCUAGUGUGGUUAUAGAUAUAAAGAAAGUGAUGAUCCCAUCGUGUGCGUUUUGUAUUCAAAAGAAAAUUCUAUAUAAUGCACGUCCCUUGGGGGAGCUAUCCUAUUCCCUUUAAAAACACUCUCUUUAUUCACCCGUCAUAAAAUCAUUUGAUCCCCAUCAAGUGUGUGUUGAUGGGAGGCAAGUCUUGCUCUUUAUGAUGCUUUGUGCCAUCAUGAAAAUUUGUAGAGGGCUUUGUUUGUUGGAACCUAGCUCUCUCUUAGAAACUAGAUACCUCUGUUUGUUUUCCUUCAAUUGGUUUCUUGUUGCCUUCUAUUUGACAUAUGUCAAUGGAUAUCUCAUUCCUUGAUGUAUCUUUUAAUUGAUAUCUUUCAAGUGAUAGUUCUUUUGUUUUAGGAUCUUAUUGUCACUUGAUAUCUUGUCUUUUGAUGACUUAUCAACUUUGUGUUGAGUUGAUUCUCGAGAGUCUUGAGCAUGCAUAUCUAGCUACUAUAUACAACUUCUUUUGCUUGCUUUCCUCCUUUGACCCAAUAUAUAAGGGAAACUCCACCCUGUCAUAAAUUGGCUAAAGUGUGCAUGAACUUCAAAUUCAUAUCUAUAUGCACAUGUGUGUGUGGAGUUUGUCCUAUGUAUUGCUGGUCUUCUAACUCUUUGGUCCCAAUGAGUUUGGGCACCAUUUUGUUUGUUUUGUUGUUCCAGGAACAACUGGAGAUGCAUUGGAUGCUCGGCUCACCUAUAAGGAAGAUGUUGAGACCAUGUGAUUAUUGGAGCCAAGAUAGGAUGAUCAAAGAAAAACUAUCUACUACAUCAAUCCAAUGUUGUCUCGGUAACAAGUAUCCACUUCAUGCAUUCUUUUCUUGCAAAGGACCCAACCUGUAUUUUCUUUUCCAGGUUGCAUCAUGGCAUGAAUCUCUUGAUUUGUUCUCGUAGUACUUGUUUGCUUUCUCAAAGCAUCCGAACGAUGAUGUCUUACUGCUAGUUGGGAUGUCUUUGAUGUUCGUAUGUUGGAAGUUCAUAUUAUAGAAUAAGAAAAUAUUAGGCCAUGUGCUAUGCUUCCAAGCAAAAGAUCUCAUUGAUAUAUUUAUGACUUCCAUUUUUGGAUAUCUAGUGUUCUUCCUUCUUGUAACCAUUUCGUGUGUACAUCCUUCUUUGUGGAUAUAUAUAUCAUCAUGAUUGUCUUCUACUUAGAAUCUUGGUCACAUGAGAGAAGUUACAUCUCUAAUUGAUAUCCUCUUUUCUUUCACGACCACCGUUGCAUUUCCUUUUUCGGUUUUGGUGGCAACGUGAAAGGAUUUGUUUUGAGUGCGUAUCUUAUUUUCCUACAUCUUGAUGCACUCUUUGGCCGUGAAGAUUAUUUUUCCUCAUGCUUGUCUUGAUGAGGGUUUUGCCAUUUUCAAUUAGUAUCCCUCCUCUUGACAAGAUCCUUACUUCCUAUCUUCACAAGGGGUUGUCACAAGCGUUGGUUCUUAUUUUGUUUAUUAGUAAGCUUGUGAACCCAAUUUCUAGUAUGUAUGUGUGGGAAUGAUAUGUCUUGCACUUUGUAUCUCAUAUUCAUCAAGACUAUGUUGAUGAGCAAUGCUCAUCCUUAUCUUAAGUCUUCUCAAGUGCUUUGCCAUGACUCACACACAUUACUUUGGUUGAGCUUAUUCUUAAGUUGCUUCCUUUACAUGUUGCUCAACCAUUAGUUUUCUGCAAUUGAUAUGCCUAUUGUCUCAUCUAUCUUCUUGCACUCGUUGUGUGUUUCUAUUAAUUCUGGGGGAACAACGAUCUUAUUUUGUGCACCUGUGUCAAAUACAAACAUCUCAUAUUAGUGUACAAAUCAUGGGGAGCUUCUCUAGUUUUUGAUAAAGCACUAUGUUGCCUUUAUCAUAAUAUCUUUUAUUCAUGCGGUUCGAAGGAACAUAUGAUUGUCUGUUCCAUCUGGGAUCUUUUGAUUGCUUGCCUCUAUCUUUGUAUGUCUUUGUGGCAUACGAUUCUUGUUGCAAUUUUUGGGUCCUUAAUAUAGUUUGUUUUCCUCCAACUACUUAUCAUUGUAUUUGUGUAUUUUUCUGCACUCAUUUGCCGAGAAAUACACACUUUUUGGAGGACCACCUACUAUAUUUGCUUUCUAAACUUUUCGUCCAUUUUGGCAAUCGAUGCCAAUGGGGGAGAAGUUUAGAGAGUUUACUUUGGAUAUGUUUAGAGGGUUUUGCUUUUAUUGCGUAAGCAUUUUUACAUCUUGCUCACAUGCACUAUUACCUUGUAUGUGUGCGCUUGGUUAUGCUUAUUUCCUUAUAUAAACUCUCUUGAAGUGGUUGUCUUCAAUUACCAAAAUGGAGGAGAUUGAUAGAGCAUAAUAUAUCUCCAUAUGUGGUUUUGGUAAUUGAUGACAAUCCCUAUGGACUAAUGGUUGCCUUAAGUUAUAUUUAUAGGAUUUGUCCAUAGGCACUUCUUGAAGUCCAUAUGUUGGGUUCAAGGAGUUUAUAUGUUGACCAAGAUGUUAUUCAAGGUAUUAUCCAAAGAAUGGUCAUAGAAACACUAGGUUGAUCAAGAUCUCAGACUAAGAGCAAAUCAAGAUGAUCAACACACAAAGCGUAUAAGAUGUACCGGGAGGGAUCAAGUGAUCCCAUGGUAUGGUAAGCAUUGUCCAUUACGUGUUUGUGUACUAACCCAUGGUCUUUGUGAGACUCCUAUGUGGGGGUUAGGUGUGUUUCCAUUGGGCUUGCGUCAAAAGGAAGAUCUCAUACAACCCAUGAAGGAUGACGUCAAGUGGUGAUCGUCAUCAAGACUGUGGUGUGCAAGUUCAAGCGGAUCAUCACGAAUAUAUCAUUGAAACUAUUCUCAAUGAUCAUGUGCUGACAAGGACAACCUCAUGUGCUAACAAGGACAAGAUCAAGAUAAGCAUUCCUGAGCACUACAUGCUUGAUUCUUGUGGAUGUUCACAUGGUGGACAGGACAAGAUCAAGAUAAGCAUUCUUCAGAACCUCAUGCUUGAUUCUUGUGGAUGUUCACUUGGUGGACAAAUGAAGAUGAAUACAUAAGCUAGGCUUUCCGCAUUGUGUAUGGGAAAGCUACUUGAAGACUUCAUCAUGUCUUGCUUUCAACUUGAGCCAAGAAGGAACAACAACAUCAAGCUCAGGUGAAAGGGCUAACUCAAAGGUAUCAGUUCCUUUGACGUUAGUUGUGCGGAGUGAUGAUCAGCGAAUAAAAGUAUACACUCAAGUAUGGAUCAUCAGUACUCUUUUAGGAUUCUUGAGUCCUUAGGGAUCCCGCACUAUUAAGAGGGGAUCACAGGUUUUGCGAUCAACUUGCUCAAACUACAUCUUCACUUUCCGUUCAGACCACAUCUCCACCGCUCUGCUGUUAUCUGAAAACAGAACGAGUUCCUCGGACAACCGGCCUCCUCCGCACGUCCGAGGGCCGGACUACCGACAGCUUCGGAAGUCCGGAAUCCUAUACCAGAGAAAUCAGAGCCAUAUAACUCGGACUUCCGGCUCCCUCCGGACGUCCGAGGCCCGGAUGUCCGACCAAGUCCCGGAAAUCCGGAAGCCUGCACCAGUAGAAGUUGAGUUCUAUAUCUCGGAAAUCCGGCUUCCUCCGGACGUCCGGUCAAGCUCCGGAAAUCCGGAGGUCAACACCAGUAGAAUGUGUGCACUAUAUCUCGGAAAUCCGGCUUCCUCCGGAUACCCGAGCACCGGAUGUCCGACACCCAUCGGAAAUCCGGAAGCCACCACGAGUAGAACUUGUGCUGUAUAACACAGACUUCCGGGCCACUCCGGAUGUCCGUAGACUGAUGAAUUCAAAUAUGUUUAGGCACACCUANNNNNNNNNNNNNNNNNNNNNNNNNNNNNNNNNNNNNNNNNNNNNNNNNNNNNNNNNNNNNNNNNNNNNNNNNNNNNNNNNNNNNNNNNNNNNNNNNNNNACGAUAGUAGUAACACAAAUAGCACGCGUGGAUUACAUUUGAAUAGAAAAUGUAAAUAUUUGGCAAGACCACGAGUCCCACAUGAUUGGCACCCUGUUUCCUGUUUCAAGUUUUGGAAACCAAUUUUCGCGGGCUAUUAAUCCCACACAGUCAUGCAUUAGGAACCGUUAGUGAUGUGAAGUCACACACGGAUGUUGAUCCAACAAUCGUGUGCAAUUGAGGCCAUUGAAUUUCGCGAGCGGCGCGUCCGUAGCAGUCUCUCCUUUUUUCUGUUGGCAUCAAUCAAGAUUCUGGUCGCCUAUAAAUGUUGCCCGGUGAGACGUCAUAUCUCCUGCAUUCUCUCGUCUCUCUCCGCACCCGUCACACAAAACUCUGCCAUGGCGCGAUCGGUCUGUGCACAAGCAGAGGAGGAGGUGCCACCCCGCGAGGACACGACGUAGCACAACGAUGAGGAGGACCCCUAUACGCGUGAGACGAGGCACCCCCAAUUGAACAUUGGUUUUAGGGCCAGUACAAUCUAGCUUUGUGGAAGGCGCCGUCGCCAACUAAGAGAGCUAGACAGGUGGCAUUCAAGGAGUGGAUUGAGGAGUGCACCAGGAACCUCGCAACCUGAAAUGCCCUUAGUGCCGCAUCACAAAGGGAGGAGUUGGAGCUUUGGCGCCGGGCGCAUCAAUNNNNNNNNNNNNNNNNNNNNNNNNNNNNNNNNNNNNNNNNNNNNNNNNNNNNNNNNNNNNNNNNNNNNNNNNNNNNNNNNNNNNNNNNNNNNNNNNNNNNUCUUGGGAGCAAUACCUCAGAAGGUGGUGGUGCUUUGUUUGAUCUGAGACAGAUCAAACUGCAUUUUUUCAAGUGUGUCCUCAUAAAUGAGUCUGAGACCAUUGCCCCCGCCCAUUAGCACCUUAUUUAGUCUGAAGCAAUUGUCUAUGGGGUUCAGUACUAGGGCGGCAGGUGUUCGACAUGUAAUAUUGAUCGGCUGGUCAUCCUGGUCGAAAGCCAUUGGUGUGUUUGACCAUGGGUUUGCCACCACUACAUGGUGGAUUUGAUGGGGCUCAUGAAAAGCUCUAUUUCUUUGGUUUUUCGCGUAUAACGUUUCGUAGAUCGUUAGGAUCUCCGCGUUGCUAUCCGCCAGCAUUCCUGACCGUUCCUCUAUAGGUGGGGCCUUGAGGAUGCCUUCUCCACUUUUUGCAACUUGCGUGAUGACCCAACAUGCUCGAAGACUGUGGGUGGAAAUUGUGUCAGGCGGGGCCGAGUGUAUGGGGCAUGGCUUGUCCAGUAGUAUGUCGAGGACCGACCUGGCUCUCGUCCGUGUUUUGUUCCUUUUUCUACAGGCUCGAAGGUAAUCGACCCCGUGAAUGGGGGUGUGCGCCUUCUCCGAAUUCCUCUGGUUUGCUUGAUAUGGUCGAGAUUGGUGCACAUUUGUUGUAUUUGCCAAGUGCUUACCACGGUGCAAUAUUUGAGCACCAGGUUUGACAGCUCGGUGAAGGUUUGACUUCAGUGACGGGCGAAGGCGUUGAGGAUGCCCUCAUCACUAAAGUUAUGCCGGAAGGCGUUGAUCAUCUCAUACUCACUGCAGNNNNNNNNNNNNNNNNNNNNNNNNNNNNNNNNNNNNNNNNNNNNNNNNNNNNNNNNNNNNNNNNNNNNNNNNNNNNNNNNNNNNNNNNNNNNNNNNNNNNUGAGUUGCUAUUUAACCUCAUCCAAGGACCUCCUCGGUCAAAUCCGAUUCAACUAAAGUUGGAGAAACCGACACUUGCCAGUCAUCUUUGAGCAACGGAGUUACUCGUAACGAUGAAACCAGUCUCUCGUAAGCGUACGAGUAAUGUCGGUCCAAGCCGCUUCAAUCCAACAAUACCGCGGAAUCAAGAAAAGACUAAGGAGGGCAGCAAAACGCACAUCACCGCCCACAAAAACUUUUGUGUUCUACUCGAGAAGACAUCUAUGCAUGANAACCUGGCUCUGAUACCACUGUUGGAGAACGUCGCAUGGGAAACAAAAAAUUUCCUACGCGCACGAAGACCUAUCAUGGUGAUGUCCAUCUACGAGAGGGGAUGAGUGAUCUACAUACCCUUGUAGAUCGUACAACAGAAGCGUUAGUGAACGCGGUUGAUGUAGUGGAACGUCCUCACGUCCCUCGAUCCGCCCUGCGAAAAAUCCCGCGAUCAGUCCCACGAUCUAGUACCGAACGGACGGCACCUCCGCGUUCAGCACACGUACAGCUCGACCAUGAUCUCGCCCUUCUUGAUCCAGCAAGAGAGACGGAGAGGUAGAAGAGUUCUCCGGCAGCGUGACGGCGCUCCGGAGGUUGGUGAUGACCUUGUCUCAGCAGGGCUCCGCCCGAGCUCCGCAGAAACGCGAUCUAGAGGAAAAACCGUGGAGGUAUGUGGUCGGGCUGCCGUGGAAAAAUCGUCUCAAAUCAGCCCUAAAACCUCCGUAUAUAUAGGUGGGAGGGAGGGGACCUUGCCUUGGGGCUCAAGGAGCCCCAAGGGGGUCGGCCGAGUCCAAGGGGNNNNNNNNNNNNNNNNNNNNNNNNNNNNNNNNNNNNNNNNNNNNNNNNNNNNNNNNNNNNNNNNNNNNNNNNNNNNNNNNNNNNNNNNNNNNNNNNNNNNCGGGGUCUCGGCAGAGUCCAUACCGUUUGAGUGCUCGGGGUUGGCCCGCGACACUAAUGCCCCGGGGGCGUUCGCGGACGCUCUUGGACUAUAGUCGGCUAAGAUGAAUCCGGGAUAUUGACCACAUCGGGCUUUAAGGCCGGAUCAAGGGUAAAAUUCGUCCUAGUGGGAUCCAUGGUUUCUGAAGCCGAAGCGUCGAGGUUCGUGGGCUCCUCGAAAGGAGCUAGGAGGCUUGUUAACACAAGAUCUCCCCGGGGGUCAGUGGUGAACUCUAGGCUGCCGAACCUGACUUCCUGACCGGGGAUGAAGCUUUUGACCUGGCCAAGGCGGUCGGCCGGAUCACCAUACAGAACAAAGCUUUCGAACGCGAAGAUCUGUUCGGGGACAAAAAUGUCCUUGUUGCGGAUCUCUUCGCCGAUGACUAAGCGUGCCAUCAAUCCUUCUAGUGAUUUCACUGUGGAACUCUCAAUGAAAGCACCAAUGUCUGUGUCAAAAUCGACGGAUCUUGGGCAGGGGGUCCCGAGUUGUGGACCUUGGAUCAAUGGGUUGCAGGGGACGAAGGAGACAAUGUUUUACCUAGGUUCGGGCCCUAUUGAGGAGGUAAAACCCUAUGUCAUGCUUGAUUAUAUUGAUGUGGAUGAGAAUUACAGAGUUGAUCUACCUCGAGAUCAUAUGAGCUAAAACCCUAGAUGAGUCAACCUUCCUAUAUGGAUGAGAACUUGUGGUUUAUAUAGACACCAUGGGUUCUUAGGGUUACAUACAACCGACCUCCAGCCGGGGAUGGAUAGGUCGAUCUAGCCUACCUAACUUGGAUGACACACCAGUCUCCGGAGCUUUCCUUCCUGAACAUGAGGUCGUCAGAUAGUGUGUUCUUCAAAUAAUACAGCCCAGUAGGUCGGCCUGUAAGAAAUGGGCCAACCGUUCGAGGACCCGUUAGUCCNNNNNNNNNNNNNNNNNNNNNNNNNNNNNNNNNNNNNNNNNNNNNNNNNNNNNNNNNNNNNNNNNNNNNNNNNNNNNNNNNNNNNNNNNNNNNNNNNNNNUCAUUAAAUUUUAGGCACAUCCAACAGAUCCCAAUAAAAUAGCAUCCCUUGGAGCCGAACUGGAACCCGCAAUCGAUGAAGCAUUGCGUGCCUUUUUGCGCAAAAAUUGGGACAUAUUCGCCUGGCACCCCUUAGACAUGCCAAGAAUCCCUCGGGGGCUGGCAGAACACAUCCCAAACAUAAUAGCAGGCUUCAAGCCUGUGAAACAGGCCUUACACCGAUUUUCCGAACCAAAGCAUCAAGUUAUGGGUGAAGAACUUGCCAAACUACUGGAAGCCGGGUUCAUGCGAGACAUCAAACAUCUCGAUUGGUUGGCAAACCUGGUAAUGGUAACAAAGAAGGACAAAUCUUGGCGGCCAUGUAUCGACUUCAAAGACCUAAAUAAGGCCUGCCCUAAGGAUCCUUUUCCCUUACCCCGAAUAGACCAAAUUAUCGAUGCAACGGCCGGACUCUCUGUGUUUCCUUGAUGCUUACUCCGGAUACCAUCAGAUUAAAAUGAAGGAAUCCAAUCAGACUGCAACUGCCUUCAUAACCCCCUAUGGGCCAUUCUACUUUAACACAAUGCCUUCCGGGUUAAAGAACACGAGCCCACUUACCAGCACAUGAUCCAGACAUGCUUGGAAAAACAAAUCGACAAAAUAUAAAUGAAUAAGUGGACGGCGUGGUCAUCAAGACCAACCACGUUAGCCAGCUGGUAGAUGACCUCAGGUAUACCUUUGCCAACGUACGAGCAUACGACAUAUGGCUUAGUCCGGACAAGUGUGUCUUUGGAGCCCGAGCCGGCAAACUUCACGGAUUCAUUGUGUCGCAAAUAGGAAUGAAGGCUAAUCCGGCCAAAAUCCAAGCAUUUUCACUACUCUCAGUGUCAACAGACUUGAAGCAUGUCCAAAAAUUGGCAGGCUGCAAGGAGGCCUUGAGCCGGUUUAUCUCUUGCCUCGGUGAGAAAGCCCUCCCACUUUAUAGGUUGCUGAAGAAGACCAAGAACUUCAAAUGGACCGACGAGGCCAUGAUGGCCUGGAGGAAAUCAAAAUGCCGCUAGGCAACAACCCCAUUCUAGCAGCACCCUGCGCAGGGGAGCUGAUGUUACUAUACAUCUCAGCCACCAAUCAAGUGGUCAACGCGGUCCUCGUCGUAGAACGAGAUGCCGAGGAUCACCAACUANNNNNNNNNNNNNNNNNNNNNNNNNNNNNNNNNNNNNNNNNNNNNNNNNNNNNNNNNNNNNNNNNNNNNNNNNNNNNNNNNNNNNNNNNNNNNNNNNNNNGUCGACCUGCUCGAGGAAGCAUGCCUUUUGGCAUUAAGCUGGACGGAUAUCUACCAGCAGAAGCUACGACACUACUAUAUCAAGAGGAUUCGGCCCCUCGCGUUAGGCGAGGGCGAUCUGGUACCCCGGCGGGUCCAACGGACAGCCGGCCAGAACAAGUUGGCUUCCCCAUGGCAAAGACCCUUCAUCGUCAGCAGGGCGCUGCACAACAACGCGUACUACCUCAUAGAUGCCCAGAAGCCGCAGAAGCGCAAGAGAGAUGCCUCCGGCAAGGAGACAGAACUCCCGUGGAACACGGCGCUCCUUUGCCUGUUUUACAACUGAACCAAUGUGUGUAUGUAUUCCCCCCAUCUUUCGUGCUUUAUGAAUGCAACAGGUACCUCGAGCGAGACUCGGUAAUGAGAUAUAUCGCCUAAAGACUCGACGCGACUGCCUCAGAGCCGGCCCGAGCCUCACGGGCUACACCGAGUGGGUGUACUAGCAUGCCCACACUGGAAAGUAGCAAAGGGAAAGAGAAAGGUGCCGCCUAAAGACUCGGGCCAACUGCCUCGCAGUUGGCCGAUUCACGGGGGUUACACACACUCGGUACGCUAGCGCAUCCCCACUUGAAAGCGCACAAGCACGAAGAAUGAGAAAGCAAAAACAGGUUAGUACUCAUUGACACGGACUGCUCCACAUGAGUCAGCCGACCCAUCUCCCUAUGUGCAUCGAGCUACGCCCGUGCCGCAUAGUCCGAGAACAUGAAUUGGACCGUGUGCACCGCUACCGCCAGUGUACUACCAGCACUCCCGCUUGUGGUGUCGCUCGCCAUCGCCCAUGACUCCCGCGGCUGGGUUCGGGAUCCAGCUUCGGCUCCACUCCGAGUCGAGUGCCCCGGCACCAACGUCGGUCGACACCUCGACGUCGGCUUCCGACAGCGUCGUCCUGGAGCUGGCCGGAGGCGGCACUACGGCUCCAACACUAUGACGUCCGGAGUGCUGAUGUCACCUCGACUCCGCCCUUCCUGGCCUUGACAUGAUCCCUCCCUGUGUUAGGGGCCUCCGUGUAGUCGCCCUCGGGCCUCAGGGGGGCCUCCACGUGUGGCACGUCCUCGGGCAGGGUGCGCAUCUCUAUCGCGGCUUGGACGUCGGCCUCCGCUCGCCCUCCCGCCGGAGGAUGACAUGGCUGGCGCAUCCCCCCAUAACGCCCAGUCGUCCGCUCCUCUCGCGUGAUCCACCGCGGCCGCGGACCUCCUCGUCGCAUCAUCCCUCCGGUGGCACUACUCCUCGGACAACGCUCGCUCGGCGAUCUCCUGCACCCGCCAGCCGGCGCACUCCCGCUCCUCCAUGGCGCUCUCACAACCCCCUGGCGCAUCGCCUGCGCCACCGAGGGGACCUCCCACCUCGGUCGCCGCUCCUAGGGAGCGCGGGGCCCUGCUCGACUGGAGGGUGGGAUGAGAAUAAAACAAGGAAAGGUAAGGACAAAAUCCAGAAGAUCAUCAGGGGUAACCUACUCUGCUAUCGUGGCGAUCGCACACCAUGGCGCCGGCCUCGAGGGGGCGACACGCAACCUCUUCCCGCCUCCUCAAUGGUCGUUGUCGGGCUUUGUCCCGGCCGCUUGCUUGGCUGUUGUCCUAGGAGCGGCCAGCAGUUUCCCCUGCACACGCUCGGCCGCCGCCNUCGGGGCCCGUUUGUUGGGUCCUCCCCCUCGUCUUGAGGGCAUCCUCCUCCAUGGCAUUCGCAUUCGUUGCUGGACAAGUGUGUGGGUGUCCUCUCGGGCUGUGGGCCAGAAGAAACUGGCUCAAAAAGCCUUGUUGACCAGGGCCCAUGCUGCUGCAUGGUGUCCGCCUAUACCUGCGUGUACUUCGGCCAAAAUUUGCCUCCCUUUUUCUUUGGAGAUGCACCACUUCAGGACUCUUGUGUUGCUCUUCUUAUAUAGCUCACCCNNNNNNNNNNNNNNNNNNNNNNNNNNNNNNNNNNNNNNNNNNNNNNNNNNNNNNNNNNNNNNNNNNNNNNNNNNNNNNNNNNNNNNNNNNNNNNNNNNNNUGGAACGGUUGAUGUUCAAGCGCUGGGCCACUAUAGCACCUAGGCUGAAAGUCUUAUCGUUAUAAAGGCCUUCGAGCAAAACCGCAAGGUCUGGCGAACUAAGUGAUCCAGCCUCACCACGGCCAAUCAAACAUUUUCCAACAAAUAAUGAGAAGUACCGUAGCACAGGAAAAUGUAUGCUAGCAAUUCUAGCGCGAGACACUCCUCUCUCCUCUCCAACAGCAAUAGAACCAAUGAAAUCCUCCAAGUCCCGUGGACGAGGGUCACGGAUAUCCCCAACAUAAGGUAAUUUGCAUACAUUGCAAAAAUCCUGCAGCAUCAUGCACUGGGGGACAUCGUAUAUCAUGAACUCAACAAUCGGAGGAUUCUUCCUCGGAUAAAAGUUGAAGCUUUGAACGAAAAUAUUGGUGAGUAGGAGGUAUUGUGAGAACUUAUCUUCAACGAAUGCAGUAAGGCCUGCGUUCUCCACCAAGUAAUAAAAGUCUUCAUAAAGUCCGGCGGCGCGCAAAAAUUCAUCACUUGGCCACUCGCACACUCGAACUUCUGUGACUCGAGGGACUACGUACUUGGGGUGGUUCUUCUCAUACUCCUUGGGGUUACGGCUUGAAGAGCCUCGCAAGAACCUCCUAAUUUUUCCUUUUUCUAGCUCUGAAAAAUUCUGAAAUUUUUAGAGACUUCGAAAGAAAAGUGAAUAAAGAUUAACCCAACUUGUAGCAACUACUCCUACUAGUGCCUAGAGACCGUAUCACGCGUUAAAACUACUUGGAACCAGCUAAAAUCAACAUUUCUAGCUCAAGAACAGGGUCACCAAGGUAGCAAGAAUACGCCAAGGAUAAAACACUAGAGCAAAAACUAAUUGGACCAAUGGAGGAGUCACUUACCAAGGAGUAAUUUCCCCAAAACGGUUUGGAGAAUGGUACUUUGAGCAAGGAGAUCGAAAAUCAUAGCCAAAUGAGCAAGAACACGGGUUUGAGCUGCGAAACAAUUUUUUCUGGAGGUGGAAGAAGAGGCUGGGAGCUGGAAUGAGUGGAGGGGGUGCCUGUGGGCCCCACAAGCUUGCACUCCGCCACUUGGGGGUGGGUGGCGCUGGCAGGGCUUGUGGCCCACUGGUCUGCCCCCCAGGCCAGCUCUGAGGCCCAGUAAUUUUCCAAAAUUCCAGAAAAAAUCAUACUAAAUUUUUAGGACCAUCGGAGAACUUUUAUUUUUGACGUAUUUUUCUCCGGGACGCUAAAACAGAAAAAGGAAAAACAAAACUAAUUCUAUCUUUUUUCUUCUAAGCAAAAGAAAAUGAAAGCUUAAGACAGAGGUAUGUGACUCUUUGUUUCAUCCGUUUCAUGGUCAUCAAAAGAAAUCCGUCAAUGGGGUUGAUCAAGCCCUCAUGACAAAACCUUCUCGAAUCGCAAGAGAGAACGAAGAAUUUUCGAAUAGCCACUAAGUCACCUCAAUGGGGAUAUGUAUCUCCCCAACAAGCAAAUCAUACUUCAUCUUGACACGAGGAAUAGGGCAUUCAAAGCUCCCAAUAAGAAUCGAUGAAGUCUUUUCGAUAGCAUUGAUGCAAUGUACUUGAUAUUGUUUCUUCGGAAAGUGCACUGUGUGCUCAUUACCGUUGACAUGGAAAGUGACAUUGCCUUUGUUGCAAUCUAUAACAGCCCCUGCAGUGUUUAAAAAGGGUCUUCCGAGGAUGACAACCAUGGCAUCGUCCUCGGGAAUAUCCAAGAUAACAAAGUCUGUUAAGAUAGUGGUGUUAGCAACCACAACGGGCACAUCCUCACAAAUGUCGAUAGGGAAAGCAGUUGAUUUGUCGGCCAUUUGCAGAGAAAUUUCAGUGGGUGUCAACUUAUCCAAUUCAAGUCUACGAUAAAAAGAGAGCGGCAUAACACUAACACCGGCUCUAAGGUCACAUAAGGUCGUUCUUACGUAGUUUCCUUUAAUGGAGCAAGGUAUAGUGGGCACUCCGGUAUCACCAAGUUUCUUAGGAGUUCCACCUUUGAAAGUGUAAUUGGCAAGCAUGGUGGAUAUCUCAAGAUCUGGUAUCUUCCGUUUAUUAGUCACGAUAUCUUUCAUGUACUUGGCAUACAAAGACAUUUUGAGCAUAUCAGUUAACCGCAUCUGCAGAAAGAUGGGUCUUAUCAUCUCAACGAAGCGCUCAAAAUCCUCAUCAUCCUUUUUCUUGGAUGGCUUAGGAAGAAAGGGCAAAGAUCUCUGAACCCAUGGCUCCCUUUAUUUACCAUGCUUCCUAGCAGUGAAGUCAUUCUUAUCGUAUUUCUUAGGCUGUCGGUUAUCAGGAUUAACCGAAGGUUCAAUCUCAACAUCCUCAACAUUGCGAGGUUGAGCAUUAUUAUGAACAUCACUGUCCGUAUUGUCACCAGGUUCAUGUUCAUCACCAGAUUGUGUUACUGCAUCAGACACAGAAAUAUCAUUAGGUUCUUCAGGUGUGACAGUAUUUGGUGAACUAGCAUGCAGGCUUCUAUCAUCCUUCUUCUUCUCCUUAGGAUGACUAGGUGUAUCUGCAUUGAUUCCUUAAGAAUCUUGAUCAAUUCUCUUAGGAUGACCUUCAGGAUACAAAGGUUCGUGAGUCGUUUUGCCUCCUCUAGUAAUGACUCUGACAGAGUUGUUAUUUAAUUCAUUGAGCAAGUCAUUCUGAGCUUUAAGUACUUGUUCUACCUGAGUAGUAAUCAUAGAGGCAUGUUUACUCAGAAGCUUCAGAUCAUUGACAUUUCUGUCUACACAAGCACUUAAAUGGCUAAGCAUACGAGUACUUUGUUCCAAAUGUCCGCUAACAUAAUCAUUGAAACUCUGUUGUUUGGCAACAAAGUUGUCAAAUUCAUCAAAGCAUAGGCUAGAAGNNNNNNNNNNNNNNNNNNNNNNNNNNNNNNNNNNNNNNNNNNNNNNNNNNNNNNNNNUCUACUACCUAUAUUGGGUUAUCGAGACCAUGGAUCUCUUCGAUACGUGGUAGAUUUUUGACAUCUUCAGAUCUAAUGCCUUUCUCUUGCAUAGAUUUCUUGGCUUCUUGCAUAUCUUCGGGACUGAGGAAUAAAAUACCUCUUUUCUUGGGAGUUGGCUUAGGAGGUGGUUCGGGAAUAGUCCAAGCAUUAUCGUUGAUCAAGAUGUUAUUCAGUAGGGUCUCAGCUUGUUCUACAGUUCGUUCCCUAAAAACACAACCGACACAACUAUCUAGGUGGUCUCUAGAGGCAUCGGUAAGUCCGUUAUAGAGGAUAUCAAGUAUCUCGUUCUUCUUAAGAGGGUGAUCAGGCAAAGCAUUCUGUAGCUGGACGAGCAUCCCCCAAGCUUGUGGAAGACUCUCUUCUUGGAGUUGAGCAAAGUUGUAUAUUUCUUGCAAGGCAGCUUGCUUCUUAUGGGCCGGGAAAUAUUUCUCACAGAAGUAAUAGACCAUCUCCUGGGGACUACUCACACAUCCAGGAGCAAGAGAGGUGAACCAGGCUUUAGCGUCAUCCUUUAGAGAGAAAGGAAACAACUUAAGGAUAUAGUAGUGGCGGAUCUUCUCCUCAUUAGUGAAAAGGGUGGCUAUAUCGUGUAGUUUGGCAAGAUGGGCUACGACCGUCUCAGAGUCAUAACCGUGAAUAGGAUCAGAUUCGACUAGAGAGAUUAUCUCAGGAUCGACAGAGAAUUCAUAAUCCUUAUCGGUGAUAAAGAUAGGUGAAGUGGCAAACUUCGGGUCAUAUUUCAUCUUAGCUUUCAGAGAUUUUUUUCCGAGAAGUAAUUUCUCAGCGUCAUAGGCAUCCUUACACGCAAGAAAAUCCUCAGCUAUAUCUCCCUCCAUAACGUAACCCUCAGGUAUAUCAGGCAAUUCAUAUCUAGGAGAGCUACAUCUAGCAGGAGCAAAUGCAGGUUCUAUCUCAAUAGUAUCAGAAGUAUCUGAAGCAUCACGAGCAUUGGCAGUAACUCUAGCAAUAUGAGCAUGAAGGAACACCCCUAGUGGAACAUCAGGCAAAGUAGCAUCUCUAGAAGUAUCAAGCAUAGCAUUAUCAGGCAAAAUAGCAUCUCUAGCAUCAUCAGGAAAAGCAGUAUCAGGCAUAGUAUCAACCAUAGCAUCUCUAGCAGUAGCAUCAUAAGCAUCAUCAAGCACAAGCGACAUAUCAAGAUUUCUAGCAGGAGGUGAUGUCGGAAACUUACUCAUAACUGAAGGUGAAUCAAGUGCAGAGCGAGAUGGCAAUUCCUUACCUCCCCUCGUAGUUGAGGGCAAGACUUUGGUUUUUGGAUCCUUCAGAUUCUUCAUAGUGAUCAGCAGAUAUAAAUCCCAAGUAACUCAGAGAAUAUAACNNNNNNNNNNNNNNNNNNNNNNNNNNNNNNNNNNNNNNNNNNNNNNNNNNNNNNNNNNNNNNNNNNNNNNNNNNNNNNNNNNNNNNNNNNNNNNNNNNNNAAAAUCACGUUGAGUACUUUGUUGUAGUCGUUUUUUUACUUCUGACAUAGUACUAUUUCCGCAGCACUCAGUUCAUGAUUGAGGAAUUUCCUCACUAGGAAUUUCCACAAUGAUGAAAUAGUAAAAAUCGCCUGUUCACCCCCCUCUAGUCGAUAUAACGCACUUUCAAUUGGUAUCAGAGCUAGGUACUCCCUUGUUUUGUGUGGUUUUGGUUUAACCGCCUGGAGUUUUAGUUAUGUCGACCGCGGGUAUGAUCAAGGUUACUGCAAGAUAUCCUACCUUCGAAGGAAAGGACUUCCCCUACUAGAAGACCAAGAUGCAAAUGCAUCUUCAAGCAAUUGACAUCGGUCUCUGGUAUAUUGUGGAAAAUGGUAUUCCCUCCAUCACUGCUACUAUCUGUGUCGCUGAUGUGAAGAGGUUCAAAUAACUUGCCUCGCAAGCGAAGAAUAUCAUCUAUGGCCACCUGAGCAAAGGUCAGUGUGGCAGAGUUAGUGCUUUGGGCAUAGUGAAGCUUAUCUAGGUACGUUGUCCAAAGUCAAUGAGGGAGUCUCAACACAGCGUGACUCUUGUGUCGAUGUUCUUCGCAAUCUCUAUAAUGGUUUCAAGAGGCUUGACAAUUAAAGUUGCCAAGAUACCUUUUAUUGCCUCACUCACAUCUCAAAUGAAUUGCAAGCACUCGGAGCUAGAGACAUCCCUGGCCAUGAAGUUGUGAAGAAACUUCUACGAUCUCUUGAUCCAUCAUUUGACACACUGGUUCUGAUGAUCCAAGAACAAAUAGACUACAAGAUGCUUGAUCCUGCUGAAAUACAUGAGAGACUCAACACUCAUGAAUUUCAACAAGAAGAAAAGAGAGAUAUGUAUGGACCAAGCUAUUCAAGACCUCGUGCGCUGAAGUCUAAGGUUGUUUCCUCGUCUGAAGAAUAUGAUUCGGAUUGCAGUCUUGGUGACCCUGAAGAACAUGGACAGGAACUUGCAAUGCUAGUGAGGAAAUUUCAAAUGUUCACAAAGCGUGGCCAGUUCAGAAGAUCUUCAAGAAAAGAUAUGACGAAAUAAGAAUAUUCAUGUGUAGACUACAAGAAAAGAACUGCCACAAAUGCAAGAAAUCUGGUCACUGCAUUGGAGAUUGUCCUCGUGAUACGUCUCCAACGUAUGUAUAAUUUUUGAUGAUUUCAUGCUAUUAUCUUGUCAAACUUUGGAUGUUUUAUAUGCCUUUUAUAUCUUUUUUUGGACUAACUUAUUAACUCAGUGCCAAGUGCCAGUUCCUGUUUUUUUUCCAUGUUUUUGACCCCUUUCAGAGGAGGAUUUUAAACGAAGUCCAAACGGAACGGAACUUCCAAAAAGAUUUUUUCCGAAACAAAAGAAGAUCGGGAAGCGUGAGAAUCGGGGUAGGGGGCCAGCAGGGACCCCAGAAGCCCCUUAGCCGCGGCCAGGGGGCCCGCGCCUCCCAGGCUUGUGGGCUCCCUGGGCCACCUCUGCCCUAGGUCUUUCGCCUAUAUAGUCCCAUAAAUUACAGAAAAAAUCAGGAGAUCAUCGAAAGUACUUUUCCGCCGCCGCAAGCUUCUGUCUCCGUAAGAUCCCAUCUAGGGCACGUUCUGGUGCCCUGUCGGAGGGGGGAUUCAGAUACAGAGGGCUUCUUCAUCAACACCAUGACCUCUCCGAUGAUGCGUGAGUAGUUCACCAUAGACCUACGGGUCCAUAGCUAGUAGCUAGAUAGCUUCUUCUCUCUCUUGGAUCUUCAAUACAAAGUUCUCCAUGAUCUUCAUGGAGAUCUAUCCGAUGUAAUCUUCUUUUGCGGUGUGUUUGUCGAGAUCCGAUGAAUUGUGGAUUUAUGAUCAUAUUAUCUAUGAAUCUUAUUUGAGUUUCUUCUGAUCUCUCUUAUGCAUGAUUUCAUAUCCUUGUAAUUCUCUUCGAGUUGUGGGUUUUGUUUGGCCAACUAGAUCUAUGAUUCUUGCAAUGGGAGAAGUGCUUGGUUUUGGGUUCAUACCGUGCGGUGACCUCACCCAGUGACAGAAGGGGUAGCGAGGCACGCAUCAUGUUGUUGCCAUCAAGGGUAAAAAGAUGGGGUUUUCAUCAUUGGUUUGAGAUUAUCCCUCUACAUCAUGUCAUCUUGCUUAAGGCUUUACUCUGUUCGUCAUGAACUCAAUACACUAGAUGCAUGCUGGAUAGCGGUCGAUGUGUGGAGUAAUAGUAGUAGAUGCAGAAAGUAUCGGUCUACUUGUCUCGGACGUGAUGCCUAUAUGUAUGAUCAUUGCCUUAGAUAUCGUCAUGACUUUGCGCGGUUCUAUCAAUUGCUCGACAGUAAUUUGUUCACCCACCGUAAUAUUUGCUAUUUUGAGAGAAGCCUCUAGUGAACACUAUGGCCCCCGGGUCUACUCCACACCAUAUUUUCAGCCUUACUCUUUUUCUUCGUUGCACUUUCCUCCGUCAGAUCUCACUUUGCAAUCAAUCUUGAAGGGAUUGACAACCCCUUUAUAGCGUUGGGUGCAAGCUCUUUUGUGUUUGCGCAGGUACUCUGGACUUGACGAGAUUCUCCUACUCGAUUGAUACCUUGGUUCUCAAAUUGAGAGAAAUACUUACUGCUCCUGUGCUGCAUCACCCUUUCCUCUUCAAGGGAAAAGCCAACGCAAGCAAGUCUCCAUCAACGUGUCAAUUUCUGGCGCUGUUGUUUGAGAAGUAGCACCUCACUCGGUGAAAGAAUCAAAAAACAGAAAUCUUCAAAAUCUUCAUUUCAAAGUCCUCAUCGCACAAGAAGACCACUUUCAGAAAGGCACGGUCACUCAUUGGCAAGAAAAUGGACUCUCAAGAAGAAUACGAGGAAUGUGAUGAAGAGGAAGGUUUUGAAGUGGAGUCAGAAUCAGGUGUGGCAACCCUUGCACUUGCUACCACAUUCGUCAGCAAGUCGAUCGUCAACCUUGAAGAAAACGACAACGCCAACUACAUCGAUGAAUAUGCUGAUGACUUCGCUCCAACCUAUUGCUUCAUGGCAAAAGGUUCAAAGGUACGAAACCACACUACCUCCUCUGAUUCUAGUGACUGUGAACCUGAUGAUUAUCAAAAACCCAAUUACUAUAAACUUGCAAACAUUGCCACUAAGCAACAAAGUUCUAUUAAAAAGCUUCAAAAACUGCUAGACUAAAGUGAUGGUCUGUUGAAUGAUGAAAUGAAUCGUACUCCAGUACUCACUGAAGAUGUUCAAAGUCUUCACCUAGAUUUGAUAGUCUUCAAGAUCUCUAUGGCACACUCUUGGGUGAUCAUGAGAAACUUUCCUAUGAAUUUCUUCAAAGGAAGCUUGAUUUUGAGAAGUUAAGAAUGUCUGAUGAUGAUCUUCGAAUGGAAAAUGAUUCAUUGCUUGCUCAACAGAUUAGUACCGCUCACGUAGAAUUCAUUCCACCAUGUCUGAAAUGCAUCGAGCGUGAAACUGCUAAUUUUUCACCUGAAUCAUCAAAUGCUUCUACUACAAAUUCUUCAACUGUUACUGUGGUAUCAAAUUAUACACUUGAGGAAACCACAAAUGCUAUUGACGAAAAUGCAGGAUUGAAGGAAUUGUAUGUGACAGGCAUAUACGAAAGUCUCAAAGGGCAUCAAACCCUUUGCGAUGUGCUCGAAAAGCAUAUUCUAAACAGGAACCCGAGGAAAGAGGGCCUUGCCUUCGAGAGGAAAUUGAAUGUUGAUGGAUCAUACUAGAAACCUGAGCAGUACCCCAAAACCUCAUGGGUUGCUGCUAAAGGUCCUACCAUUGAUUCAUCCACUCUAACAGGCUUUGCAUGUGAAAUGUCCUAUUACUCUGAUGAGCCUUUUGACUCCAACUGUAAACUGUUCAAAAAUCAAUCUGGUGAAGUAUUUUCUCGAUAUGUUGGAACUAACUUCAGGAAUGGACCUUCUGUGAGGAAAAUAUGGGUCCCCAAAACUUGCUUGGAAAAUCUUCAGGUGAAUGUCCUCAUGACACCACGAGUGAAGAACCAGAACCCCAGAUCAAAUUCCUCAGGUGGACCAAAGUCUUCACGAGGAUCAAAUUUUUCAAAUGGUCAAAAUUAUGCUCGUACUCGCACUAAUGCUUCUGAUAUGCAGGGAAACUACAAGGUACAUGAAUAUGAGCAUUAUUCCUCAAAUCAUUAUGUUCAUAAGUCCUCAAGGAAUUUCUCUGCCUAUUCAUUUGAGUACUCUAUCCCCCCCCACUAUGAAAAGAAGUGCAUUAGCUUCAAUGCCUCCAUUCUCAUAUGGUGCUCGCAGAAUGAUGAACUCUUUGCCACCCCUUCAUAUGGGGGUGGUGAAGAAAUCGAACUAAUCACUUCUGCAGGUCAGGUCUCCAGAUGAAAGUCAUUAUCUGAAGAAUUUGCUGGAGACCUGAGGAAAUUGCUUGAUUGGACGCAAGCUAAAACAUGUUGAAAUGAUAACAUUUCACACUUCCUAAAAUUUACUAUUCAUGAUGAAAUUCUUGUCUGAUGAAAUUGAUAUCAUAUUCUUCAAGUCUGAAGCAUAUGAGAUGGUAAGAUGUACUAAUUCAUCUACAGGAUGACAAACCCAAGAAUACAGAGUGGGUUCUUGAAAGUGGUUUCACAAAUCACAUGACUGGUGAUAAAAGCUUAUUGAUGAAUAUACCACUGACUCCAUCACCACUGAAGCAAAUCACUUAUGCUGAUAAAGGUAAAAGCAAGGUAUUGGGACUUGGUAAAGUGGUUAUUUCUAAGGAUCGACACAUGGACAAGGUCAUGCUUGUCGAAUCCCUUAGGUUUAACCUCAUGUCAGUCUAAAUGCUUCGUGAUCUUAAUAUGAUUGUCAUCUUUGGAAAAUAUAGAUAUGUAGUCAUCAUGGAGUCUUCGAAGGCUUUAGGAGAGGAGACUUGUACAUUGUUGAUUUUUCACAUGUCCUCAACCAGCCAUAUGUGUACUAGCAAAAACCUCAGAAGGCUGGCUAUGGCAUUGACGACUUGAUCAUGAACGCAUGUGGAAUUUUCACACACUGACAAAGAAGAAGCAUGUCAUUUGCAUCGAAUCUGUCAAAUUCCUCAAGGACCAUCUCUAUGGUGCUUGUGAGUCUGGAAAAAUGACCAGAUCCAAACACCCCUCAAAGACUAUCAUGACUACUACUCGUCCAUUUGAAUUGCUUGACAUGGAUCUAUUUGGACCACUCAUUAUGCUACUCUAACCAAUGCACCAUCUAUAUAUGGCUUUGUCAUCAUUGAUGACUAUUCUCGUUAUACUUGGGUACACAUCAUUGCUUACAAAAAUGAAGUGCGGGAAGUCUUCACACGAUUUUCCUCAAGGGCCUCAACAAACUUCGAUGUCAAGAUCAAACACAUCAGGAUUAAUAAUGGGACAUAAUUCAAAAAUACUAGUCUUGAUGAUUAUCUCGAUGAACUUGGUAUUACUCACGAAUUGUUUGCUCCUUAUACUCCUCAACAGAAUGGUGUCGUUGAAUGCAAGAACAAGACUCUGGUUGAAAUGGCAUGGACUAUGCUUGAAUAAUAUCAUACUACUCCUCGCUUUUGGCCUGAAGCAAUCAACACUGCUUGCCACAUCAUCAAUAGGGUAUAUCUUCACAAAUCGUGAAGAAAACCUCAUAUGAACUCCUCACUGACAAGAAACCCAAUGUAAGUUAUUUCAAAGUCUCCGAUGGAAGAUGUUGGAUUAGAGAUCCUCACCAUAGCUCAAAGUUUGCACCUAAAGCACAUGAGGGUUUUAUGCUUGGUUACGGAAAGGACUCACACACCUACAAAGUCUUCAACACCUAUCACAACAAGGUUGUUGAAACUCUAGAUGUGUGGUUCGACAUAUAGUAAAGAGAGCAACUGCCUCCUGUGCCAGAUAAAUUGACUCGUGAGGAAGCUAUUAAGCACAAGGCUACUGAAGAUAUCUUUCCUACUGAGGAACAAACCCUUGUUGAAGAAGUCGUCCCCAACACGGGGAAAAUGCUACAGAUCAAAUUCCUUGGACCAAGCAAAGUAUUCAACCAGCUCAUCCAAGGAUUGCAAAUGAAGUGUAAGUUGACAAAAUCCUCGAUGACAUCAAUGCGCCAGGUCCUCUCACUUGCUCAAAAGCUUCACAUUUAGUUAACUUUUGUGGUUAUUCCUAUUUUGUGUCUAUCACAUAACCCUCAAAAGUUGUUUAAGCCUUCAUGGAACCUGAGUGGAUUCAAGCCAUGCAAGAUGAACUUCUUCGGUUCAAGCUAAAUGACGUGUGGGAACUCGUCAAAAGACCAGAUCCUCGCAAACACAAUAUCAUCGGCACCAAGUGGAUCGACCGAAACAAACAAGACGAGGAUGGUCAGGUUGUGAGGAACAAGGCACGACUUGUAGCCCAAGGCUACACACAGGUUGAAGGAAUUGACUUUGAUGGAACUUUUGCACCUGUUGCUAGACUUGAAGCUAUUCGAAUAUUACUUGCUUAUGCUAACCAUAACAGUAUUACUCUAUAUCAAAUGGAUGUGAAAAGUGCAUUCCUCAAUGGUAAGCUUGAGUAAGAAGUAUAUGUUUUCAGCCCCCGGGUUUUGAAGACCCAAAGCACCCUGACAAAGUCUUCAGACUCAAAAAGGCACUCUAUGGCCUCAAGCAAGCCCCUCGGGCGUGGUAUGAUACAUUGAAGGAAUUCCUCAUUAAGAAAGGCUUCAAACCCGGUUCACUUGAUCCUACUCUUUUCACAAAAUCCUAUGACAAUGAACUAUUUGUGUGCCAAAUAUAUGUCGAUGACAUUAUUUUUGGUUGUACUGAGAAACGCUACAGUGAUGAAUUUGCCUACAUGAUGGGUGAAGAAUAUCAAAUGUCAAUGAUGGGGAGCUGAAAUUCUUCUUAGGUCUGCAAAUUUGUCAACAACGCACUGACAUCUUCAUAUCUUAGGAGAAAUACCUCAAGGAUGUUCUGAGGAAAUUCGGCAUGCAUGAAUGAAAAGGCGUCAAGAUACCAAUGCCUACCAACGACCAUCUCUCCACUGAUGAAAAUGGUAUAGAUUUCGAUCAGCGGGUAUAUCGUUCUAUGAUGGGCUCUUCCUUGUACCUCUGUGCAUCUAGGCUAGACAUCAUGCUUAGUGUUUGCAUGUGUGCACAUUUUCAAGCAAAACCGAAGGAAUCACACCAUAAGGUUGUGAAACAUAUUCUUCGAUAUCUAACUCACACACCAACACUAGGAUUAUGGUACCCCAAGGGCUCAAAUCUUCACUUCAUUGGAUAUUCUGAUUCUGGUUAUGCUGGUGACCGUGUGGAUCGCAAGUCAACAUCAGGCACAUGUCAUUUCCUCGGGUGAUCCUUCGACCGUUGGUCCUCAAAGAAGCAAAGCUUCGUAUCACUCUUCACUGCUGAAGCUGAAUACAUUGCUGCUGGGUCUUGCUGUGCUCAUCUACUAUGGAUGAAGCAAACCCUCAGAGAUUACGGCAUCAACAUGAAGAAUGUGACACUCUACUGCGACAAUGAGAGUGCAAUCAAGAUCGCCUACAACCCAGUACAACACUUGAAGACCAAGCACAUCCAGAUUCAUCAUCAUUUUCUUCGUGAUCAUGUACCCAUGGGCAAUAUCAUCAUCGACCAUGUGCAGACUGAUGGCCAGCUAGCAGAUAUCUUCACAAAGCCCUUUGAUGAGAGAAGGUUUUGCAAGUUGCGGUGUGAGCUCAAUAAAAUGUUUUGUAAACAUGCACACAUCCUAACACUUAUGCAAUAUUGAUGACUUAGAUGUGCAACACACGAAGUAACGAUUUUCUUCAAUCAAUGAAGAAUAUCACUCUAAGUGUGAAGAAAUUAAUCGAAUUUGGUUCUGAGGGCCAUACGAUAAUUGUACGUGGCACCAAAAAUCAUCAUUCUUAUACGGCGGGUCACGCCACCACCAAACUUUGCAAUUCUUCAAAUUGGGAAUUCUUCAAAGUUGAAAUUCUUCAAUCUGGGACUUUUUCACAAAUUCCUCAAAAUUUUCAAAGUCUUCGAAAUUUCAAAUUAUUCAAAACUUUAUGUGAUGAUCUUCGUUGAAUAUAUAUAUAUAUUAUAAUGAGCUUUCAUUGUCCUCAACAGCAUUCACUUAUUGCUAAGUCUUUAGUUUGAUAUUUCUUCCAAGUGAAUGUGAUCGGACCCGUCUCCCCUCUAUGCUAAGCUCAACCCAGUCUAUUCUCAAUUCUUCAUAUGCGUUCUAGUUUACACUUGUUCAAAAUCCUCACUGAGUUCUUGUCAGCCGAGGACUUUGUAACAGAAUUCUCAAAAUUCAAAAAUUAAUUUUAACGUUACCACAGUAACUCCACCCACUACUCACGAUAGGAUAACCACGAUCUACACCGCUUCAAUCAUGGGUAGCACGUGUCAUGCGGAGAUGAAAGGGCAAGGGCAGUUUCGUCCAAAGUUUUCGCUUCACUAUAUUUCACCUGAGCUAUAAAUAUCCCCUUACCCCCCCUUCAGUCAAAAAUUCUUCUCUCCGUCUUGACUCCUCCGAUCGAGCUCAAAACCUAGCGCCGCCGUUAGCAUCCUCGUCGUCAGUGAGGAACAACUUCUCUGCCUCGAUCUCGCCGUCAUCGGAAUCACGCCGACUGUAGAUCAUCUUCCUCUGCUGCCGCCAUAGCUAACUUUAGUUGCCAAGUUAUGGUAGUGAAGAUCUGAACCAAAGAUCUUCAAUUUGUACUUACCCGGUUCAUCGCGUUCUUCACAUAGGGUAAUUAAAAUCCUAUUUUACUCUCCCUGUUGAUCCAUUUAUUCUCUUUGAAUUCAUGAAAUCAAUUUUUCCUCCGAAAAUAUUUCAGCUGUGCACACCCAUGUCUAGACCACUUAAUGAGUUUCACUAAGUCCCUAAAUUCUUCACGAGAUUCCUCAAUUGUGUAAAUUUUCGAAUCUGCACAACUCUGGAACCCAAGAUCAGAAUGCUUAGUCAAAUUCCUCAACACACUGGUCAAAUUCCUCAACUUAAGUAAUUUUUAAAUUUCCUCAAAUCUCAGAAUGCAUGUGACCUCUCCAAAUUCUUCGCACCUAUACUUUGUUCACACGUACAAAAUGCCAGCUCAUGAAUCACUAGGUUCUCAUCAACUUAACUCAUCUGCAUAAUUUCUUGAAGAAACAUUACAUGUGUCCUCAUAUUCCUCAAGAAUACAAAUUCCUCAGCAAAAACCUUAGCUGAAGAAAAUGGAGGAAGACAGAAAACAGAAGGGUGGCAAGAAACUGGAACAGAACACUCCUUUUGAAAUUCCAUAAGAGAUAUAUGCUAAGUACUGCACGGCAGAUGAAGAAAUUCAUGAAAAAGAGACCAUGGCAAAACCAAAGAUAAGGCUUCAAAAGAUUGAACGCGGAUGGGGAAAGGAGUGGAUGGAAUAUAGGUAUGUCACUCCAAAGUAUGCCAAGAAGUUUUCCCUCAAACCUCCUUGUUGGGGAACGUAGUAAUUUCAAAAAAAUUCCUACGUCACACCAGGAUCUAUCUAUGGAGAAACCAGCAACGAGCAAAGGGGUAGAGCAUCUUCAUACCUUUGAAGAUCGCUAAGCGGAAGGUUUGCUAGAACGCGGUUGAUGGAGUCGUACUCGUAGCGAUUUAGAUCGCGGUGGAUUCCGAUAUGUGCGCCGAACAAAGGCGCCUCCGCGUUCAACACACGUGUAGCCCGGUGACGUAUCCAACGCCUUGAUCCAGCAAGGAGAGAGCAGAGGUUGAGGGAGAGAUCCGACAACACGAUGGCAUGGUGACGGUGGAGCUGUGUGGUACUCUGGUAGGGAUUCACCAAUCUCUACGGAGGAUGAGGAGGAACUCGAGGAGGGUUGCACCGUGGAGAGGUGGAAUUGUGUUGUGUGCACCCCCAAAACCCUCCACUAUAUAUAGGAGGAGAGAGAGGAGGGUUCCCACCCCUAGGGUUUCCACCCUAGGUGGUGCGGUAGCCCUAGAUGGGCAAGGGGCGGCGGCCAAGGGUGGAGGAGGUGGCGCCCUAGGGUUAGCCCACCCUGCCCACUUGUGCGCCUUGGGCUGGGGUGGGUGGCGCACCAGCCGACUUAGGGGCUAGUUCCCAUCCACUUUCAGCACACGUACCCCUUCAGGGAUGGUGGCCGUUCCCCAUGGACCCCCGGAACCCUUCCGGUGGUCCCGGUACAAUACCGACAAACUCCAAAACUCUUCCGGCAAUCAAAACUCCACUUCCUAUAUAUUAAUCUUUACCUCCGGACCAUUCCAGAGCUCCUCGUGACGUUCGGGAUCUCAUUCGGGACUCCGAACAACCUUCGGUAACCACGUAUACUAUUUCCAUAACAACCCUAGCAUCAUCGUACCUCAAGUAUGUAGACCCUACGGGUUCGGGAACCAUGCAGACAUGACCGAGACACCUCUUCGGUGAAUAACCAACAGCAGGGCCUGGAUAUCCAUGUUGGUUCCCACAUGUUCGAAGAUGAUCUCAUCGGAUGAACCACGAUGUCGGGGAUUCAAUCAAUCCCGUAUGCAAUUCCCUUUGUCUACCGGUAUGAUACUUGCCCAAGAUUCGAUCGUCGGUAUCCCUAUACCUUGUUCAACCUCGUUGCUGGCAAGUCUCUUUACUCGUUCCAUAACACAUCAUCCCGUGGCUAACUCCUUAGUCACAUUGAGCUCAUUAUGAUGACGGUUUACCGAGUGGGCCCAGAGAUACCUCUCCCUCACACGGACACUUUCGGAGAUACAUGUAGUGCACAUUUAUAAUCACCCAGUUAUGUUGUGACAUUUGAUACACCCAAAGCACUCCUACGGUAUUCGAGAGUUGUACAAUCUCAUGGUCUAAGGAAAUGAUACUUGACAUUAGAAAAGCUUUAGCAGAGAACAGUACGAUCUAGUGCUAUGCUUAGGAUUGGGUCUUGUCCAUCACAUCAUUCCCCAAUGAUGUGAUCCCGUUAUCAAUGACAUCUAAUGUCCAUGAUCAGGAAACCAUGAUCAUCUAUUGAUCAACGAGAUAGCCAACUAGAGGCUCACUUGGGACACAUUGUGAUCUAUAUAUUCACACAUGUAUUGUGGUUUCCUAUUAAUACAAUUACAGCAUGAAUAAUACACAAUUAUCGUGAACUAGGAAAUAUAAUAAUAACCACUUCAUUAUUGCCUCUAGGGCAUAUUUCAAACACUCCUUGCAAAAGACUGCCACAAGGAGAUCAACAAACACCACAUCUUUCCAGUGUUGCCACAAUUGAAGACUAUCCUGAUGCAAAAGUUGUUGUCACAAAGUUUAAUGAGGACUCUUCUGCUGCAGCAACUACUGCCACUUCUUCUGCUACUGAGGCUUCUGCUACAGAACAACCUUAGAAUAAAGUCCUCAUAAAGAAACCAGGUCUCAAUCCAAAUCCCUCCACAACAUUAUCAAAAGAGGAAAUUCGUCAUAAAGUAGCAACAACGGUUGCCAAGUCCUCAACUGCAGCAAAGUCUUCACCUCCUCUGCAGUCACAACAUCAAACAGGAAAUCCAAGUUCCUUUGUACCAUCUGCUUCAGGUUCAGUCUCAAAUCUUCACCUGGCAUACUGAGGACAAAGAUGACUGCUGGAAGGGGAACAAGGCCAAGCCCUAGCAAUAUUGUUAACAUUCCUUCUCCAUCAGAAGGAAGUGAAGAAUAUGAUGAGGAAACUCUUGAAGCCAUCAUUAGAAACAAGCAAGAAAGGAUUGCACAAACUACUCGCAACACCAUUCCCCUCGCACUGGAUCCAAAAGUUGUGCUGAACUUUAUCGACCUUUGGCAUGAGGAUCCAAACACACCAAUUGAUGAUUUUAAACUUCCACCUAGACUCAGUCAUAUGGUCACAUCAUUCAUCAAUGAAGAAAAAUGGAAGGAUCAGCAAGCCAAAAAAGCCCAGGCUGCAAAGGUUAAAAAGGAGAAUUACUUGAAGCAAAACAUCUUUAACCUGACGCCUCAGAAACUUGUUUCUACUCAGGCAGAGCUGAAAAAGCUCACUAACAAAUACACAAGUCAUCAUGCGGACCGCAAGGUUGUCAAAGUGAGGUUUUUCCAGGCCGCAACUCAAGCAAUUGAUGAAUACAACAACAGGGUUGCAGCCCCAAAGCAACGAGUAACUCCUCAACCCAGCUAUAUUGUACAACUCGUUGAUUGUGAUGAAGAUCAAGAAGCGGCUGCUGAUGAAAUUAAACAGAAUAUUCCAGCUGAAGAGACUGCCAUGCCUGACACUGCUCAUGCAAUGUCUGAUGAAAAUGUACCUUCACCAAUGACUUCAAGAGUGAAGAAAGUGACUCUUCCGUCUGCAUCAGACGUGAAGAAAAAAAAGCUGCUGAGGAGAAAGCAAAGAAGAGAAAGGCAUCAACACCCUCAAAGUCUCCAGAGGCAAAAUGCCUGAAGAAUCUGCCUACUAUAUCAUCAGCUCUAGUGGAUGCAACUCCCCUCAGCAUUGUACCAUCAUACAUGAUUGUUCCAUUUGGUGAAGAGCACAUCAUUCCAGAACAUGACGAGGAAAUGGAUGACAAUCGCUUUGUUGCAUCCACACCAGUUGAUGGGCAAAUUCAAGCUGAUCAAAUUCCUCAUGUCUCAAUACCUCCUCCUCAGAACCCAGAAAUGAGUGCUAAAGAAAACGAGCUUGAUUAAGACAUUGGCAGCAGUACACUUGUUAUCCAUGAUGAGUUUUGGGAAAAGACUCACCCAAACUCGCCAAUGACCACACAAAUUCCUCAAACUCAUGCAGUCACUGAAAUCCUGACUGGCUAUGAAUAAAAGAGCUCACAUGUGAAAUCAGCACCACACCAAGAAUCAGCUGCUUCAGCUGAAGAAGCUGAAAAGGAAAUUGUUAUAUUAGAAACUGCAUCUGCUCCUUCAGCACAGCAAAUUCCUCAAACUGAAGAACAAGCCCCUGAUGAAAAUGCCUCAUCACAGGAUAAAAUUACUAGUGAUGAAACUGCAAUUGUGGUUACAAAUCCUAAAACUGCAAUUGUGGUGGCAAAACUCCUCAAGACGAUCAACAUCAUAAUCUUCAACCAAAGCAUCAUCAACCCUUCUCAAAGAGGCCAAAGUUUCUGAAGGAAGACUUCUACGAUGAACAUCGUUUCUUCAGUUGAGAAAAUCCUUACAUAGACUUCAUAUCAGGUAUAGAAAGUUCUGGACCAGAAGUCAACUUAAUUACUAUGCUUCUAUGCUCUGUGGAAAAAGGAAGAUAUUUCAUCACACCCACAUUCCUCACUAUGACAUGGAGGAAAUUCCUUGCUUCACCCCAAUACUAAAUGUUCUUCACAAAGCAGGGCUACUACCAUUCUGCACAGAUAUCGGUGACUGGAAUAUAGACAUUAUUCUUCAGUUUUAUGCCACACUGCAUAUCUCUGGUGACCCCAAAGACAUCAACUCACGGGUCUUGGACUGGAUGAGAUAGCACAUCACUACAAAGCUCCAGCCACAGAAUUGCUUCGAGCUCUACCCAUCUCAAUUCCUUCAGAUGAUGCAAUCAAACUGUAUGAUGAAAGAGAAUUGCCAAAUAAGCUCAUGGAGGUCCUCAUGAAACCUUUGGCUCCGGGCCAACCUCCAAGGACAAGAUUCCUCAUGAAGGAAUUGAAGCAUGUGCCUAGAACUGUCUACAGAAUAUUGGCAUAUUCCAUUGCACCUAUCAAAGGGCAUGAUAAGGAAGAAAAUGUUGUUGGAAUCAUGAAGAACAUCCUGUUCAAUGUCAUUCAUGGCAUCAAAAUGAACCUUUACGAUUUCUUCUUGAGGACUUUGGCUGAUAAUGCCUUGUCACCAUUUGAGCCAAAGAUUUAUGCGCCUUGGAUCAUGAGAUUCAUCCGAAACAGAUCCGCCAUCAACUACCAAGAUGACUUUCAGAAUCACCUCGGUUAUCUGCCGCCUCUCAAAGUCAUCAAGAAAUUGUUUGAACCAGUUGAAGACAAAGGCAAGUCAAUGAUUGAUGAAGGAAAUCGGCCCCUAGAUGGUCAAUUUCGCAAGGCUGGCUCCUAUUCCUCAUAUGAUGACACUGCCACUCAAGAAUCUGAUGGCAGAGCAAAACCUCCAAGCCCAACUACCCCAAGGGUGAUGACUAACAAAGAGCUUCUCCUCAGUCUUCAUCAGAAAGUCGAUCACAAUCACAAGUGGGUAAAACGCCAGUUUGGCUCCAUUGUGAAAACGCUCAACAAGACUCAAAAUGUUGUGAAGAAAAAUCACUAUUAUCUUCAUGAGGUAUUUGAUCGCACUUGGGCCAUAUUGUCUCACUUGAAGACUCCAAAGGAACUUGAGGAAUUGGAAUUCACUCGCGACUUUGAUUGGUCAUGUCCACCAAAGAAGAAAUUCAAGACCAUUCCAGUUCCUGACUAGGUGGACAACUCAUUUUCUUCAUUCCGCACUGCUGAUUCAGAUGAAGAACCUGCAGAUACUCCAACUGGCCCAACAAGGAAGUCUAACUCAAAGAAUGCUCACGCCUCUACCUCAACACAGAAGUGAAUUUCUUCAUGGGCGUUAGUCCUCAGUUUCAUCCCUUUUCGUCACUUAUUAACAAAGGGGGAGAAAUCUCAGAGUUAGUCUUCAAGCUGGAUAAAUUUAUGGGCUUAUAAACUUUAUUAAGAUAUAAACUCUUGGGUCUUCUGAAGUUUUUGAUGUAAUGAGUUGUAACUUAAUCCUGAUGGUGUUCUGAUACUUUUGAACGUUUUUCCUCGCAUGCCUAUUUCUCAAGUUAAUUAAUGCAUGCAUGAUGAAAUUCGCCAAACACCAUUUUUCAUGAUGCAUUUCAAAUUCCUCAUACUAUAUGUCAAAUGCAUGCAAGAAUUACAAGAUACAGGGGGAGAUCUCCAUGAUAUAUAUCAUCAAUGUGCAUUUGUUGUUCAAAGCAAAUUCCUCAAAACAUGCACAUCUUCAGGGGGAGUUUCUCUGUAUCUUACCUUCAAAAUUCCUCAAACUCAGUAUUUACAUUUCAUAUUAUUAUCCCCGUUGAAAACUUAACCUAUUUGUCAUCAACCACCAAAAAGGGGAAGACUGUAAGUGCAUCUAGGUCCCCUUAGUGAUUUUGGUGGUUUGAAGACUUAUAGGUUAAGAGACUGAUAUGUUUGUGAGUGUACACAUGCUCUAUAAGUCAUUGAGGAGUUUGAGUUAUUCGAUGAUUAUCGACCCCUAAAAAUGUAUGUCUUCGGGUGAAGACUUUCGUCAUUCCUUGAAGGCUUUGAUCAUGAAGAAAUUGCAAAGAAAUUGAUAUCCUCAUGAAGGUAUUGAAGAUGAGGAAUUCGGUGUGUCCCGAAGAAAAUACACUAAAGACUUUGAAGCUUGAAAAUUUACUCUUUCUGUUUCAUUUUCUUCAUACUUGAGUCAUAGAAACACCGUACUGUUAAAGGGGGUCGAGGUAAAACUAUGGAACUAAUUUACUCAUGAUGCUCAACCCAAAGCUACAUCUACCAAAUCUUCAAAGUGAGGAAUAUGAGAGACAUGAGGACUUUCACAGUUGAAAUUUCCGACCGUCGACGCGCCAUGCGCCACCUGUCCAAGAUCUUAUCCACCCAAUGGUCAUAUUAUUAAUGGGCAUUUAUGUCAAAUCAUGUCAGGAUGGUCCCAAGCUAUAAAUAGCCACCCCCACUACUAGAAAAAAGGCUAUAGCUAAUAUGGACACUAAUGGCGCACCAUCUAUGUGGUGUGCCACUGCUAUAUAGCAGUGGCGCACCACAUACAGGUCCACCAUUAUUGGUCAUAUUACUAAUGGCGCACCUGGUGUGCGGUGCGCCAUUACUAGUUUUUGUACUGGCCCCACACCCUUCCCAGACUUAGCAGUGGUGCACGAGGGGCAAGUGCGCCAUUACUAGUUUUAACUAGUAAUGGCGCACCACACCAACUGUGCGCCACUACUAACAAUUUGUUUUUCAAAACUAGCAAUGGCGCACCACACACCAGGUGCGCCAUUAGUAACCCUGGUUACCAAUGGCGCAUUCUUAGGUGGUGCGCCAUUGGUAACCCUGCCCCCACUAUACAUACUCUUCCCUCCCCUGUCUUCUCCCCCGAAUUAGGCCGGCCCUAACCACCUCCCGCCGCCGCCUGGUCCUUCCCCGCCGAUUGACCUAGCACCGCUGCUAGGGUUCCUCCCCCGUCGCCGCCUCUAGGGUUCCUCCCCCGCCGCCCGGUCCUCGCCUCCUCCCUCCGACGAGCGAGGGCCUCCUCCUCCCUCCGACCCACGCCAGCCACCGCGAACGGACCGACACCCGAUGAUGGGCGACGACAAGGCUGCCACCUCCCCCUCCGCCUCCGCCGCGCUCUCCUCCUCCGGCCGCAAGGUUCGCCCCUCUCGCCCCCUCCCUUCUUCAUCUCUCUCUUCUUCUUCUUCUCUUUUGAUUUAAUUUACUGCUCUCCGAAGAUUUAUGAUUGGUGGAUGUCAUCAGCUAACCAUUGAACCAAAUUAGUAUUUAUAAGCAGCUCGCACAAGUUUCAAUCACGUCAUUUUUGUAGAAGAUUUUCUAUGCCUACUUCAGCACAUCAUUUAGCUUCCAUAAUUAUUAAAUUUGUUAUUUUCUGUUACUCUAGAUAGUGUUUGGCCGUAAACUACAUUGCCCAUGGUCCUAUAAACUUGUGAUCUUAUUACAUCUACAAAUCAUAGACAUGGACAUAUACUUGUGUACGAAAACUGUCAUGUGUAUAUAUGGCACCGUCUUAGGAACAUGACAGGAUUAUUCUCAAUAUCAUAAAUUCAAAAUACAGUUAAAAAUACUUCCCUUCGAAAGAAGAAAAAUCUAACAGUAAGGAAGCGUACUGUGAGUAUAUGGCCUACAUGUUACUAUUCCCAACCAAAGUAAAUUGUGCAAGUCAUUGAGGAUUGACAUAUAAUAAGCACGUGAAUAUUGUCCACCAGACUGCAAAACAAAAGGAAAUGUAAGGCCAGUUUGAUUUCAAUACAUGUGCUAACUGAACACGUAAUCAUUGGUCAAUUAUGGCAAUGAUGCUAUAAAUUUGUGAUCUUAUUUUGUUAAGAUAGUAGCACUAUGAAGAUAAGAGACGACUGCAAAACUGAGAUUGUAUACUUGAAUCAGUCCACUUAGUCUAAGUCAUUGACAGAGAAAACAAAUAUCAUCGGGCAUAUUAAUUUGUAGUACCUCGGGCAUUGAGUUGUUUUUUGGAAAAAUAAGCUCAGAAAUAACAUCGAGAGGUGCAGGCGGUGGUGGAGCUUCCCGGGAGGAGCGAAUCGAUGGAUGGCCAUAACUAGCAUGUUCAAACUCAACUUGUUAUGUUCCGAAAUGCAGUGGUUAGCAGAGUAACAACUUAGCUCCAAAUAGAUUUUCUGUGUAAAAAAUCAACUUGUUAUAUUUCUGCUGCUAAUUAGAAGGUCUUUUCCUCUAGUGUGAAGUCUUUGAAAGCCAGUCCUUCUAACAAGGGGUAAAAACAGGGUAGCAAGGCAAGAUACAUGUAAAUAGGUGGCAAUGCUAUAGUAAGAAUCCUCCCUCUCCGAUGUAUACCUUAGAAUGUGGAUAUGCUCAUGCUAAUUAACUGAAUAUGCCCAUGGAUAUAUUAUUUAAUCCAGCAAAUAGAUGCAUUCUAAACGCAUGCAUUAGUCUACUAACAAAGCCUAAGACAUAAUCGUGCAAACAUGACACACCUUCAUUCCUGCCAAAAGAAUAGUCCAAAAUUAACUUGCUUUUGUUCCAAUUCGACAUAGUUUGGGCUAUAAAAAAUGUUGAUGCUCCCACCAGUACUAGUUUUGUCAUGUUACAGUGGAACAUAACACACUGUUACCUGUAUAUGAUUUGAAAUGUUAAAAGCAAUGCGGAUAUUUUUAAAUCGGUGUAGCACUUACAAUAAUGUAUUAAAAUGGAAGCCAACAAGUUAUUGUUGGCAUAAGCUCAAACACAUGGUUGUCAAGAUACACAACAAUUCAUGCCUUAUUGAUUCACUUGUAAUUUGUUUUUAUUGAGAUUUUAUGAUUCGUCGUACAUUAUGUAUGUUUGUAUCUUUGUAGUGAGCGAGAGAAUAGUUGCGCAAUAGUUACCUGACAAAGAUGAAAGAAAAUCCGAACCAAUUAUUAUCUGACAAAGAUGAAAGUAGAAUGAUGAUAUUCUUUAUUAUUGUUCAUUCAUGCUUUUCCUUUUUGAUACUUCCCUUGCACCGAAAGAGUGCUCUUCAUGUUUGGUAGCUUUGCUUGUUUUGCCGAAAUGUUGAUUCAUUUCCGUUCCGGCAAAUUUCAGACGCUCCAUAUGUCCACUUUUUAGUAAAUGUAAUGCCCAAUUUUUCUUUGUUUUAGGAAAUCUCGUCUGACGACGAAUUCAUUAUGUGCGAAUACUGCCAAGACAAGCGCGGCCUUUGCGACACGCCUUUCCUAGUUGAUGAUAGGCGCUUCAGCAUCAUGCUGGAUGAGGACUUCGAAGUGGAUAGAGUAAGUCACAACGACAAGUCUUUUUCGUAAUUAAGCAUGGCUUCUUUUGCUUCAACUUAUAAUUUUUAUUUUUUACUAUUCUACUAGCGUAUCCCCUCCCAUGCAAGACAUUAUGUGUUGGAUAAGAUUGGUUUCAGUACUAAAAUAAAUAUGGAGGUAAAGAUAGUUCACUUGAGGACCGAGCAUGGUUAUACUUUUGCCGUAAAAUUGUACAUUGCAGACACCUACUCAUUUUUUGAAUGCAAAACUUGGGUAGCACUAUGCAAGGCUUAUGCAUUUGAGCCUAAUAAGCUUAUCACCUUUGAUAUUCGUCCGGAAGAUUAAAUUGAAGGUAAUAUCGACAUCUGGGUCGAUGUGCAGACGCCUCCAGUUCUACCAUUAUGUGAGUUUCUCAACCACAUUUAUUAAGUAAUUUAUAUUGUUUAUUUAAAAUAGUUGACAACUUAUUUCCAUUGAGAGCUUAUUUUCAUUCUUAAAAAAUGUACGGAAAAUGGUAGAGAGAACAUAUUACUACAAUGAUGAAGAAGAAUUAACUUGUAAUGAGAAACAUCAUCUUGUCCAAUUUAUCAAUGAUCUUGAGAAUUACAAUACCUAUCAGCAAACUCCCCAACAUUAUGGUCAAUAUGUGCCACUAGUGCACGUGGUGAACUAUGGUAACAUGCAUGGAGAUUGCAUGGUAAGAUUUUCUACUAUUACGAGAUCCAUGCAUCUUUUGCAUAAAUUCUUGUCAAACUAAACUACAUUGCUAGCUACAAAGCUAAUACUAUGUUUUUCAACAGAAAAUCCCGGAAGAUUGUGUGCCUCAUAUGAUGUUACCAAGAGGUCGCGUUGAUGUUAUGAUGAUACGACCAACACGGCCAGGUUAGCCUAGGUAUCUGAUUUACUCAUGUCCAUACCGGAUUUCUAAAACUGAUGAAGUCAUGACAAUCAAAGAUUGGAAAAAAUGUAUGGUCUAUCCUAGAGAGCUACAUGGAAGCAACAUUGUGCGUAGGCCAAGAAUUGGAGACAAGAUGAUCUCCAUUCUCCAUAAUGGAGAGUCAGGGCCUAUAUUGUUUUAUGAUAUUCUACCUAAGCAGAGGAGUAGGUCCUAGGUACAAUGUGUUAUUAUGUGCUACAAUGUGAUGAUGUGCUACAAUGUGUUAAUGUGAUGAUGUGCUACAAUGUAUUAAAUAGUAUUGGUGGUAAUGACUAUGAUGAUUAUUAGCUAGUUCCGAGAUGAUGUGAUGAUGUGCUACAAUGUGUUAGAGUUGACGAUGAUGAUGAUGAGGAGUUGUGAUUAUGACUAGUGACCAACUUUUGUUAUAUGAUGUCUCAUUGACUAUGAUGAUUACUUCUACAUCACUAUGUAUCGCUAUUUUCGAGAUGAUGUGAUAAUAUUUUAUGAAACUAUUGUAUAGAAUAUGUAUCACUUACUUCUACAUCACUUAUAUUAUGUGCUGUAAUGUAUUUUGUAACCCGUGCAAAUAUCAGAAAAGCAAAAAAAAAUUCCUAAUAUUCAUAGUAGUGGCGCACCAUCUAAAAGUGAGCCAUUAGUAAGCCACAACAGUGGCGCACUUUUGGGCCUAGUAAUGGCGCACCAGGUGGUGCACCACUGUUAUGUAGAUUAACAGUGGCGCACCAGGCGUGCGUCGUUACUAUUUAUUAGUAGUGGCGUGAUAAUAGUGGCGCACCUAUAGUGCGGCAUUAAUAGACAAAAUAGGUGCGCCACUAAUAGCCCUUUUUCUAGUAGUGCCCCCACAACCACUAGCUCGUUGGCUGGUGAUGACCCACAAGUAUAGGGGAUCAAUCAUAGUCCUUUUGAUAAGUAAGAGUGUCGAACCCAAUGAGGAGCAGAAGGAUUUGACAAGUGGUUUUCAGCAAGGUAAAAUCUGCAGGCACUGAAAUUGUCGGUAACAAGUGAUUGUGUGGUGAGAUGAUUCGUAGCAAGAAACAAGUCACAAAAGUAGCAACGGUGCAGCAAAGUGUCCCAAUCACUUUUGUAGCAAGGUACAAUCCUGGACAAAGUCUUAUAGGAGGAAAAACGCUCCUGAGGACGCACGGGAAUUUUUGUCACGCUAGUUUCAUCAUGUUCAUAUGAUUCGCGUUCGUUACUUUGAUAGUUUGAUAUGUGGGUGGACCGGCGCUUGGGUACCGCCCUUACUUGGACAAGAAUCCCACUUAUGAUUAACCCCUCUUGCAAGCAUCCGCAACUACGAAAGAAGAAUUAAGACAAAGUCUAACCAUAGCAUUAAACUAGUGGAUCCAAAUCAGCCCCUUACGAAGCAACACAUAAACUAGGGUUUAAGCUUCUGUCACUCUAGCAACCCAUCAUCUACUUACUACUUCCCAAUGCUUUCCUCUAGGCCCAAAUAAUGGUGAAGUGUUAUGUAGUCGACGUUCACAUAACACCACUAGAGGAAAAACAACAUACAACACAUCAAAUUACCGAACGAAUACCAAAUUCACAUGACUACUAUUAGCAUGACUUAUCCCAUGUCCUCGGGAACAAAAGUAACUACUCACAAAGCAUAAUCAUAUUCAUGAUCAGAGAUGUAAUGAGUAGCAUCAAGGAUCUGAACAUAAACUCUUCCACCAAGUAAUCCAACUAGCAUCAACUACAAAGAGUAAUCAACACUACUAGCAACCUUACAAGUACCAAUCGGAGUCGCGAGACGGAGAUUGGUUACACGUGAUGAACUAGGGUUUGGAGAUGAGAUGGUGCUGAUGAAGAUGUUGAUGGUGACGAGUCCCCUCCGAUGAGAGGAGUGUUGGUGACGACGAUGGCGACGAUUUCCCCCUCCGGGAGGGAAGUUUCCCCGGCAGGAUCGUCCUGCCGGAGCUCUAGAUUGGUUCUUCUCAAGUUCCGCCUCGUGGCGGCGGCGAAACCACGAAAAAGCUCCUCCUUGAUUUUUUUUUCUUGGAUGAAACCCUUCAUAUAGCAAAAGAGGGGGGCAAGUGGGCCUGCAGGCUGCCCACAAGCCCUCAUGGCACUUAUAUGGCCCAGUAUUUUUGAUAAAUUGGGAAAAAAUCCCCGUUGAUUUUCACGGUGUUUGGAGUUGCUCAGAAUAGGUAUCUCAACUUUGCUCCACUUUCAGGCCAGAAUUCCAGUUGCCGACAUUCUCCAUCUUCAUGUAAACCUUGCAAAAUAAGAGAGAAAAGGCAUAAGAAUUGUACCGUGAAGUGAAAUAACAGCAAAAGAAGCGAUAAAUAUCAACAUGAAAACAUGAUGCAAAAUGGGCGUAUCAGCUGCUCCGAGAGAAACUAACACUAGUCAUUUAGAGCAACCCAAAUUCCUUAGAACCUUUGAGCGAAAAUCUUCAAGUGAGGAAAUACCCCAAACACCCAAACCCAAACCAAAACCCAAGUGAUUGAGCAUCACUAAAGAAGUUAUUCCUGUGUGGAACCGACGCUUGUUACCUUUGAGGACUAUGCAUCCUCCAGACGGCUAGGCGUCAUGAUCUAGAGCAUCGAACAGUCAAUUGUGGAUCGCUGGGUGACCGAGUUUGUGAGGGUGUGGAAGUCUGCCCAAAAGACUUACCACGAGUGUUGGGCGAGCAUUGUGUGUCCUUAGCUCAAGGAGAAUACGGUAGGGAAUGUGUUUCCCCGGACUGUGUGUCCUUUGGUUUCAAUACCAAGCCGCUCCAAACCAGACUUGCAACUGACACAUCAGUUGGGACCGAGUCAUCAACAAGUGUCUUCAUCAAACUACUGGUUCCAUUUCCUCAACUCUCUCAUUUCCUCAAUUGCAUGUUGAAGACUUUCAUCUGUACUGUUUGAAAAUUUUGACUGAAGACUUUCUCUGAAUUCCUCACCUCAAAUUUUUCGCCUAAGUUAUUCUUCACCUACUUAUCAUAUACUUGUGACCUGUGCAACCCGAUUCUCUAAAGUCACGCUGAGUACUUUGUUGUAGUCGUUUUUGCACUUCUGACUUAGUACUAUUUCCGCUGCACUCAGUUCAUGACUCAGGACUUUCCUCACUAGGAAUUUCCUUAGUGAUGAAAUUGUAAAAAUCGCCUAUUCACCCCCUCUAGUCGAUAUAAUGCACUUUCAAAGCAGCGCCAAAACUUUCAAGCAAGCAACAGUUAACAAAGCAUUGCCAUGCCAAGACACCUUUACCAAACCUCAGUUAGCUCCUAGUGGUAUGUGGAAAGCACGACAGCUGAAAUACUACAGGAGAUAUAAUGGUUUGUGUUAUAGUAGUGGAGACAAGUUUUCUCCAGGGCAUGUAUGUGCCAACAAACAAGCAACCCAAGUGAAGGUGAUCAACAUGGCACAUGAAGUAGCACAACUUAAUGAUGCGGUGUUAGAUGCCAUUUUUACUGAAGAACAUGUCAAAGAAGCAGCUGCCUACUUGUCAGAUAAUGCCGUCACAGGCACUACCAAUACUAAAACAAUACAACUCAGAGCACUCGUGGGCAAUCAAGUUAUGAUGUUACUAAUUGCCUAUGGGAGCUCGCACACAUUCUUAGACCAACAAUUGGGAGACAAACUUCAGUGUCCCACUAUAAAUUUACCUAGUCCCAUGACAGUCAAAGUAGCAAAUGGGGAGAAGCUUCGGUGUACUCACAUGGUGCAAGGGCUGAACUGGUGGAUACAGGGGCAUACAUUUUCCACUGACAUGAGAAUCUUCAAUUUGGGAGGGCAUGAUGCCUUCUUGGGCAUAGAUCAGCUGUCUCAAUGGAGUCCAAUGACAUGUCACUCGGAAGAGCAAUGGGUGCAUUUUUAGGAAAAGGACACUGAUACAUCUCAAACGUAUCUAUAAUUUUUGAUGGUUUCAUGAUGUUAUCUUGUCAUCCUUGGAUGUUUUAUGUACCUUUUAUAUCUUUUUUGGGACUAACUUAUUAAUUCAGUGCCAAGUGCCAGUUCCUGUUUUUUCUGUGUUUUGGCUCUUUUCAGAUCUGAUUUUGGAACGGAGUCCAAACGGAAUAAAAUCCCCGAAAUGAUUUUUUCCCGAACGGAAGAAGAUCAGGGGGCUUGAGGGCCAAGCCACAAGGGCUACAGGGGGCCCACAAGCCCCCUAUCCGCCACCAGGGAGGCGGCGGAUGGCAGGCUUGUGGCCUCCCUGGCGCCCCCCUGACCUAGAUCCUUCACCUAUAUAUUCCCCAAAAUACAGAAAAAAAAUCAAGGGAUCCACGAAAAUAAUUUUCCGUUGCCGCAAGCUUCCGUUUCCGCGAGAUCUCAUCUAGAGACCCUUCCCGGUGCCUUGCCGGAGGGGACUUUGGAGUUGGAGGGCUUCUACAUCAACAUCAUCGCCCCUCCAAUGACUCGUGAGUAGUUCACUUCAGACCUACGGAUCCAUAGUUAGUAGCUAGAUGGUUUCUUAUCUCUCUUGGAUCUUCAAUACAAAGUUCUCCAUGAUCUUCAUGGAGAUAUAUCCGAUGUAAUCCUCUUUGGCGGUGUGUUUGUCGAGAUCCGAUGAAUUGUGGAUUUGAGAUCAGAUUAUCUAUGAUAUAUAUUUGAGUCUUUGCUAAUUUCUUAUAUGCAUGAUUUGAUAUCCUUGUAAGUCUCUCUGAGUCUUGGGUUUUGUUUGGCCAACUAGAUCUAUGAUUCUUGCAAUGGGAGAAGUGCUUGGUUUUGGGUUCUUAUCGUGUGGUGACCUUUCCGAGUGACAGUAGGGGCAGCAAGGCACACAUCGUGUAGUUGCCAUCAAGGGUAACAAGGUGGGCUUUGUUGUAGAUAUGAGAUUGUACAUCUACAUCAUGUCAUCUUGCUUAAGGCGUUACUCUGUUCUUUUGGACUUAAUACACUAGAUGCAUGCUGGAUAGCGGUCGACGUGUGGAGUAAUAGUAGUAGAUGCAGAAAGUAUCGGUCUACUUGUUUUGGACGUGAUGCCUAUAGGUAUAAUCAUUGCCAUAGAUGAUGUCAUGACUUUGCGCGGUUCUAUCAGUUGCUCGGCAGUAAUUUGUUCACCCACCGUCUACUUGCUUUCAGGAGAGAAGCCACUAGUAAACACUACGGCCCCCGGGUCUAUUCACACCUAUCGCUUCCACUUUUGCUUUUACUUUGCUUUGUUACUUUGUUGCUUUCAGUUCUCACUUGGCGAACAAUCUAUAAGGGAUUGACAACCCCUUCAUAGCAUUGGGAGCAAGCUUUUUGUGUUUGUGCAUGCACUUGAGAUACUCCUUCACUGGAUCGAUACCUUGAUUCUCAAACUGAGGGAAAUACUUACCACCGCUGCGCUACAUCACCCUUUCUGCUUCGAGGGAACACCAACACAAGGCUCCAAGGCCACGGGGGAAAUCCUUUGCAUAUUUUCCUAGGAAGUCCCUUAAGGCGUAGCCGUAGCAGAAGGAUUCCUGGUGCCGUUAACACGCCUAUUUCUGGCGCCAUUGGAAGGUCUUUUGUUGCAGUAGCAGAAGUAUUUCUGGCGCCGUUGUCGGGGAAGGAGAGAUCUAUCUAAGUGGGUCUCACAAACUCAUCUCUUGCAUUUACUUUUUUGCCAGUGGCCUCUUGUUUUCCUCUCCCCCACUUCACAUUUGCCGUUUUUAUUUUCUUUUCUCCUUUGCCGUUUUUCUUUUGCCUUUUUCCUUUUUUCCGUUUUCCUUUGCCGGUUUUCUUGCUUGCUUGUGUGAUUGUUUGUUUGUUGAAGUCAUCAUGGCUGAAAACACCAAACUUUGCGACUUCUCGAGUACCAAUAAUAAUGAUUUUAUUAGUACUCCGAUUGCUCCCGCCACUAGUGCGGAAUCGUAUGAAAUCAACGCAGCUUUGUUGAAUCUUGUUAUGAAAGAGCAAUUCCUGGGCCUUCCUAGUGAAGAUGCCGCAUCCCAUCUCAAUACCUUCAUUGUGCUUUGUGAUAUGCAAAAUAAAAGAGAUGUGGAUAAUGACGUGAUUAAGUUGAAACUUUUUCCUUUCUCGUUGCGAGAUCGCGCAAAAACUUGGUUUUCGUCUUUGCCUAAAAAUAGUAUCGAUUCUUGGGAUAAGUGCAAAGAUGCUUACAUAUCCAAGUAUUUUCUGCCGGCUAAGAUCAUCUCCUUACGUAAUGAUAUCAUGAAUUUCAAGCAACUUGAUCAUGAACACGUUGCACAAUCUUGGGAGAGGAUGAAGCUUAUGAUUAGAAAUUGUCCCGCUCAUGGCUUGAGUUUGUGGAUGAUUAUACAAAUCUUUUAUGCUGGCUUGAAUUUCGCUUCUUGCAAUAUCUUGGACUCCGCCUCAGGUGGAACGUUCAUGGAAAUCACGCUAGGAGACGCUAGAAAACUCCUAGACAAUAUCAUGACCAACUACUCUCAGUGGCACACUGAAAGGUCACCUGCUAGCAAAAAGGUACACGCUAUAGAAGAAAUUAACUCGCUUAGUGCUAAGAUGGACGAGUUGAUGAAUUUGGUUGCUAGUAGAAACGCUACUGUAGAUCCUAAUGACAUGCCACUAUCUUCUUUGAUUGAGAGUAGCAACACUAGUUUGGACGUGAAUUUUGUUGGUAGGAACAAUUUUGGCAACAACAAUGCUUUUAGAGGAAACUAUGUUCCUAGGCCUUUUCCUAGUAGCUCCUCUAACAACUAUGGCAAUUCCUACAACAAUACUAAUGGAAAUCACAACAAAUUACCCUCUGAUUUAGAGAUUAAUAUCAAAGAGUUCAUCAACUCUCAAAAGAUUUUCAAUGCGUCCAUAGAGGAAAAACUACUCAAAAUAGACGAUUUGGCUAAGAGCGUUGGUAGGAUGUCUUGUGAUAUUGAUGCUUUGAAAGUUAGAUGUGCUCCUCCCAAGGUCAACUUGGAUGAAACUUUGAAAGCUAUGCGUGUCACCAUGAAUGAGAGCAAAGAAAGAACCGCCCAAAUUCGCGCUAGGCAUGAAUGGUUUAAAAGGGUGCGUUCUAGUGAUGCAAAUCACGAAGAUCUUAAAGUGCUUGUUGUGUCUCCUAUUGAAUCUUUGUUUUCGCGUGUCAAACCUAUUGAUGGAGGGGCUGGAUAUGAAUCCACUUUGGUUGAAAAACGCCCCAAUGAUUCGGAGUCCACCUAUCUUGAUGAUAUAGGUGUGGAGAGUGGAGUAGAAGAAAUCAAGAUUUUGGGUAGUAAUGAAACUCCCACUUUGGAUUUCAAGGAAUUCAAUUAUGAUAAUUGCUCCUUGCUUGAAUGCAUUUCUUUGAUGCAAUCCAUUGCAAACUCUCCACAUGCUUAUUGCCAAAGCAAAGCCUUUACCGCACAUAUCGUAGAUGCUAUGAUGAAAUCUCUUGAAGAGAAGCUCGAACUAGAAGUCUCUAUACCUAGAAAACUUCAUGAUGAGUGGGGACCUACUAUCAAAAUCAAGAUCAAAAACUAUGAGUGCAAUGCUUUGUGUGAUUUGGGUGCUAGUGUUUCCGCGAUUCCAAAGUCUUUAUGUAAUAUUCUUGGUUUUCAUGAGAUUGAAGAGUGUUCUCUUAAUUUGCAUCUUGCGGAUUCAACUGUCAAGAAACCCAUGGGAAGGAUCGAUGAUGUUCUUAUUGUUGCAAAUAAGAACUAUGUACCCGUUGAUUUCAUUGUACUUGACAUAGAUUACAAUCCUUCAUGCCCCAUUAUUCUUGGUAGACCUUUCCUAAGGACUAUUGGUGCUAUCAUUGAUAUGAAGGAAGGGAAUAUUAGAUUUCAAUUUCCUUUAAAGAAGGGCAUGGAGCACUUUCCUAGAAAGAAAAUAAGAUUGCCUUAUGAAUCUAUGAUGAGGGCUACUUAUGGUUUGAGCACCAAAGAUGACUAUACGUGAUUCCAUCACCUUUUGCCUAGCUAAGGGUGUUAAACAAAAGCGCUUGUUGGGAGGCAACCCAACGAAUCUAUCCUUUUUUCUUUCUGCUUUGUGUUUUCCACACUUUCAUAAUUCUGUUAUGAAUGUGUUUUUUGUGUUUCUUUUUGCGUUUGUGCCAAGCAAAACCGUUAUGAUUAGUCUUGGGGAUGAUCGUUUGGUCAUGCUGGAAAAGACAGAAACUUUCAACUCACGAAAAGAAUUUUCAUUUUUAUUGUAAGAGAUUUUGAGUUGAUUCUUUUUGCUGCUGAUUGCUACGCAAAUUCUUCAGACUGUCGUAAUUUUUCAGAAUUUUUCAAGUACCAGAAGUAUACGAAAUAUACAGAUUGCUACACACUGGUCUGCUGUUAACAGAUUCUAUUUUUGUUGUGUUGGUUGCUUAUUUUGAUGAAACUAUGGAUAGUAUCGGGGGGUAUUAGCCAUGGAAGAUUGAAAAUACAGUAAACCAACAUCAGCAUAAGUAGAAUUUAAAUUUUCUACAAUACCUAAGGAAGUGGUGGUUUGCUUUCUCAUACUAAUGUUAUCACGAGUUUCUGUUUAAGUUCCGUGUUGUGAAGUUUUCAAGUUUUGGGCGAAGUUCUUAUGGACAAAGAGAUAAAGAGUGGCAAUAGCUCAAUCUUGGGGAUGCCCGAGGCACCCGAAGAGAUUCAAGGAUGCCAUAAAAUCCUAAUCUUGGGGAUGCCCUGGGAAGGCAUCCCCUCUCUCGUCUUCAAUCAAUCGGUAACGUUACUUGGGGCUAUAUUUUUAUUCACCACAUGUUAUGUGUUUUUGCUUGGAGCGUAUUGUAUCGUAGGAGUAUUUUUUUUUGUGUCACAAUCAUCCUUGCUGCACACCUAGAGAGAGAGACAUGCACUCACCGUGAUUUUGUCGACCUUCACUUAUAUCUUUUGGUAGACAAUUCAGCUCACAUGUGCUUCACUCAUAUCUUUUGAGCUAGAUACUUUUUCUCUAUGUGCUUCACUUAUAUCUUUUAGAGCACAGCGGUGCGUGGCUUGGUAGUUGAUCUAUGCUUUGAAAGUAGUCUCAAAAGGGGUAGUUAUCCAAAGGGAUACGAAAACUUCCACCUUCAUGUGCAUUGAAUAGUUAGAGAAGUUUGAUUUAUCUCAAUUAGUUUUAAGUUGUGGUUUUGGUAAUAUUGAAGUCAUGCUAGUAAGGUGUUGUGGAUCUAGAAAUACUUGUGUUGAAGUUAAUGAUUCCCGUAGCAUGCGCGUAUGGUGAACCGCUAUGUUAUGAAAUCUGAGCAAUUAGUCUAUUGAUUGUCAUCCUUUGCGUGGCGGUCGGGAUCGCGCGAUGGUUUAUACCUACCAACCCUUCCCCUAGGAGUAUGCGUUGAAUGUUUUGUUUCGAUUACUAAUAAAACUUUUGCAAGAAGUAUAUGAGUUCUUAAUGACUAAUGAUGAGUCCAUGGUUUAGAUGCACUUUCACCUUCCACCAUCACUAUCUUCUUAGUGCCGUGCAACUUUCGCCGGUGCACAAAACCCACCAUUAGCCUCCCUCAAAACAGCCACCAUACCUACCUACUAUGGCUUUUUCAAAGUCAUUCCGAGAUGUAUUGCCAUGCAACUACCACCAUGACAUGUGCCACCACGUCUACAUUGCCAUUGCAUGAUCAUAAGAUAGCUAGCAUGAUGUUUCCAUUAAUGUCUACGCCAUGCUAGAUCAUUGUCACGGUACACUACCGAAGACAUUCCAUAUAGAGUCAUCGUUGCUCUAAGUUUUGAGAUGAAAGUGUGAUGAUCAUCAUUAAUGGAGCAUUGUCCCAUGUGAGUAAAUAAAAGAGGCCAAAGAUGCCCACCAAAAAAAAGAGGCCAAAGAGCCCACCAAAAAAUAUAUAUAUGAGAGAAAAAGAGAGAAGGGACAAUGCUACCACUUUUCCACACUUGUGCAUAUUAAGCACCAUGAUCUUCAUGAUUGAGAGUCUCCCGUUUUUUCACCACCAUAUAGCUAGUGGGAAAUUUUCAUUAUAUAACUUGGCUUGUAUAUUCCAAUGAUAGGCUUCCUCAAAAUUGCCUUAGGUCUUCAUGAGCAAGCAAGUUGGAUGCACACCCACUAGUUUUCUUUAAGAGCUUUCACAUACUCUUAGCUCUAGUGCAUAAUUUGUAUGGCAAUCCCUACUCAUUCACAUUGAUAUCUAUUGAUGAGCAUCUCCACAGCUCAUUGAUAUGCCUAGUUAAUGUGAUCAUCUUCUCCUUUUUUGGUCUUGCAACCUCCACCACACUCCACACCACUUAUAGUGCUAAAACCAUGGCUCACGCUCAUGUAUUGCGUGAGAGUUGAAAAGGUUUGAGAAAGUAAAGGUGUGAAACAAUUACUUGGCCAAUACUGGGGUUGUGCAUGAUGUAAAUUCAUUGUGCAAUGACGAUAGAGCAUAGCUAGACUAUAUGCUUUUGUAGGGAUAACUUUCUUUUGGCCUUGUUAUUAUGAAAGUUCAUGAUUACCUUGCUAGUUGGCUUGAAUUAUUAUUGUUUCCACGUCAAUAGCAAACUAUUGUUUUGAAUCUAAUGGAUCUGAACAUUCACGUCACAUAAGAGGAGUUACAAAGGACAUCUAUGCUAGGUAGCAUGAAAGCAUCAAAAAUUCAUUCUUUAUCACUUCCCUACUCGAGGACGAGCAGGAGUUAAGCUUGGGGAUGCUUGAUACGUAUCUAUAAUUUUUUAUGGUUUCAUGAUGUUAUCUUGUCAUCCUUGGAUGUUUUAUGUACCUUUUAUAUGUUUUUGGGGACUAACUUAUUAAUUCAGUGCCAAGUGCCAGUUCCUGCUUUUUUUGUGUUUUUGGCUCUUUUCAGAUCUGGUUUUGGAACGGAGUCCAAACGGAAUAAAAUCCCGAAAUGAUUUUUUCCCGAACGGAAGAAGAUCAGGGGGCUUGAGGGCCAAGCCAGGAGGGCUACAUGGGGCCCACAAGCCCCCUAUCCGCCACCAAGGGGUGGCGG